UAACAUCUAUGUUCUUUCUCCCCCCAACCAUUUCAAGCAACAGCAUUCCAAAACUAUAAACAUCAGACUUAUAUGACACAUUUCCGAAGUUGCGAGACAGUACCUCGGGUGCAAUAUAGCCCAUGGUACCUCUAGCUGUUGUCAUUGAAAUAGCACUUUGUUCCUUGGAACACAAUUUAGCAAGGCCGAAAUCAGAGAUCUUAGGAUUGAAAUUGUGAUCAAGCAAAAUAUUGUGAGGUUUGAUGUCGAAAUGGAGGAUACGUUGCUUGCAACCUUGAUGCAGGUACUCGAUGCCUUUGGCUACGCCGACAGUAAUAUCCUGAAGUUUUUCCCAACUAAGGGAUCGAUCCUUGCCCUUGGCUGCAAAUAUUAACUUUUCUAAAGACUCGUUUGGUAGGUAUUCAUAAACGAGAGCUCGGUCAUAUCCAUCGGCACAAAAGCCAACCAAGCGAGUCACAUUCACAUGGUGGAUUCUGCCCAUCGAACCCACCUCGUUGAUGAACUCUUCACCAUUUCCCUUGAAAUUAUUGAGUACCUUGAUAGCAACUAAAACAUCACUGGAAAGUCUGCCUUUGAAGACAGUUCCAUAGCCUCCUUGUCCCAGUUUGUCCUUGAAAUGAUUGGUUAUCCUUUUAAUAUCAGCAUAGGAGUAUCUUGAGGGUUUAAACCCUUUAUAAUCUUCCAAAAACUUUUCAAUCUUGACUUUCUUUCUCCUUUUUGUCUAACCGAUAUCUCCACCCAACUGCAAUGGCAAUGGUUGCAGCAAUUGAAGAACCCAACACAAUACCUGCAAAUCAGCAUACAUCCCUCUGUUAUAUCCUGUCUUAAAUUAUUGAAGCUAAAAGGGAAAUUCCAUUUACCUGCAACCAUUAGCCUUUCUCCCAAACCUGCCAAACAUUUAAAGUUAUUCAGCUUUGAUACAUAGGAAAUCUAAGAAAAGGGCUCACUAUAAGUUUACAACAUUAAGCUUCACGUUGAUGCAGGCUAAUGAAUUUUUUAACGUACGUUGUACAAUUAUAAUAGUUAAAACAUACCUAUAUGGUGCUUGGGGAUAUAAAAACACUCGGUUUGUUCCUAGGUGCUAUUAUUGAACAGCUAUUAUUGUUGUUCAAUCUGUUGACACCAUUUUUUUGAUAGCUGUUGACACCAUUUUUUGAUAGCUGUUGACACCAUUUUUUGGAUGAAAAACGGGGUCGACUUGGAUUUUGAAAACGAAAACGGGAGUCGCCACCAAUCUUUUUUUUUAUGAGGUGUGAUUGGAUCACCUCGAAAAGGGUUUAAUAAACGGUUUGAUUUUAUUAAAACAACAAGUUUGGUCCACGAAAUUCAGAAAAAACGGGUUCGGGAGUCGGUUACGCACGAGGAAGGAUUAGCACCCUCGAUACGCCCAAAAUUGGUAUCUAGUUGAUUACUUAAUGUCUUAGUGUCGAAGAGUGAAAACUUUGAAGAAUUUAAAAAUACAAUCAUUGUAUUAAAAAGUUGAAAAUUUUCAGGAAAAGGGCAUGUUUUACGUUAUUCGAGAAAGAGAAUCAUAUCCAGUAAGUUAGGAAACAAUGUCUCAAAUUCUCAAUACGCGAAUAAAAAAUGCUUAUUUAAAAGAUAUUUAAUUAUCUUGGAUUUAAAAAGGGAUCACGACCAGUAAGUUAGGACACGAUCUUUUUUUUUAAUUCCCGAUAUUGUUUAAAACUUGAGUUUAAAAAAAAUUCGUGUAAUAAAGUUUAAAAGAAUAUUUAAUUGUUUAAAUCAAAUGAAGAAAUCGCAACCCAGUACGUUAGGGCACAAUUUCUCAAAAUAUUAAACAUUGAAUAUUGCAUUUAUUUCGAAAAAUCCUCGUCUCGAGAAAACAACGUGUCACAUCCAAUGCGUUAGGAUACAACGUAUUGAAUUCUUGAUAGCGAGCUUUUUAUCAUUUUUUUAAAAGAGUAAUCUCGAUUAUUUAAGUUCAACGAAGAAAAUCGAAACCCAAUACGUUAGGGCUCAAUUCUCUCGAAGAUCCCAAAUACCGAGUAUUACUUAUAUUUUUUAAAAUUUUCCGUUUUUUAAUAAAUCCGAGUAAAGUGGAUGCAAAAUAAUGAUAAUGAUGAUGUAAGUAGAAUAACAUGAUCAAAAUAUAAAUAAAUAAUAAGACUAAUAUAUAAAAAAAACGAUCAAGCAAACACAAUAGAAAUAAUAAAUAAAAAACUAGAGCAUAAUAAUAAUAUACAUGUAAAUAAAUAAAUAAAAUGAGUAAAAUUAUAAAAAUAAAAAAAGAUAUAUAUAUGUACGUAUGUUAGAAUUAUAAAGUAUAUAAAAAAUAUGUGUAUGUAUGUAUGUAUGUAUGUAUGUAUGUAAGCUAAAAAAAUAUUUAUAAAGAGAUAUGUAUAUAUAUACAUAUAUAUAUAAUAAGAUAUAUAGAUAUAUAUAAUAAGAUAUAAAGAUAUAUAAAUAAAUAUAAUAGUAAUAACAAUAGGAUAAAUAUAUUCGAAAUUUAAAUAGGCAAAUAUAAAAUAAAAUAUAACAAUAAUAUUAAACUAAUGGUAUAAUAAUAGUAAUAUAUAUAUAUAUAUAUAAGUAUAAAUAUCAUAACUAAAUAAUAAUAAUAACAAAAUGGACCAAAUUGGGAUAAAAAUAAAAUUUAAGGGCACUCAAACAGUAAUAAAAUGCGCAAAUAAGGACCAAAAUGGAAAGGCGUGAAAGGGCGAAGGACCUAAUGAAAAAUAAACCCAGUUUCAGGCCACGCGUCCCCUCCCCAAGGGUGCAACGAAUUGAGGACCAAAUUAAAAAAAAGGCAAAUCCGUGGUCCAAAUUAAAAGAGGAAAAAAAAUGGUUCAAAUUGAAAAAUACCGAAAAUGCAGAAGGGCCUGAAGCGCAAAUAACCCCUUGAUAGAAAACACGCGGAUCCCCUGAGUUGGGUCGGGUCGACGCGCGGGUUAUGGGGUAAAACGACGUCGUUUUGAGGCCAGAUGAAGCUGGCCAAAACGGCGUCCUUUUCAGGCGCUAUAAAAACCAAAUUUUGUUUCAGAUUUCCCAUUUUCUUCACUUUUCUUAAAAAAAGAAACUCAAAAACUCUCUCAAGCCCUUUUGGGCAAUCCGAUUUCCGGCCUAAGGUCUGGCUGUCGGCCACCGCGCCUUUUACCGGUCGCCGGCAAUGGCACCGCCUUCCGCUGUGGCCGGAAAAAUCAAAAUAGCCCACUUUGUCCCCUUUUUCGAGUAAGGUUCGUAUUCUAGGCUAGAAAAGCCGAAAUCCCAGUGAAAAGAGACCGAGAAUGGAAGAAACCCUUCGGUUGUUCUUCCUCUCCUCCGCCGAAAUCAGGUAAAACUCUUCUCUUUUUUAUUUUAUAUAUUCUUAUGUAUAUUGAAAAAUGAAAAUGAAAAGAGAAAGAAACAAUGUAGAAAACUGAAAUAGAACGAAAAUAGGAAAAAGGAAGUCGGAAAAAUCAAAGUAAAUCACCUUCUAAAAACUUUUUUAUUUCUUCCAAUUUUUUUUUUCAAAAGCCGGAAAAAAAGCCCCUUACAAAGAUGAAAUUCGGCUAUUUAUAGCCCAUUACAACCAAUUUUUUACAAUUUCUACUGUCGUUGUAUUUGUUGUUGCGUGUGUAUUCUUCCUUGCAGGUGCCAGAGGAGUUGGUGGAGCAGGUGAGGCCGUGCGGCGCUAGUCAGAGGAACGGUGGCGGUAGUUGGGACCGAAUACCCUAGGUGCGGCGCACCUAGGGUUAGGUUUUUCUUUCUUUCUCUAUUUUUUUUGUUUAUUUUGGGCUGAUUUGGUUGUAAUGGGUUUUGGGUUUAUUUUGUUGGGCUUCGGGUUUUGGUCUAGGUUAAUUUGAAUUAAGUUUGGGUAUUGGGCCGGGCAAAAUAUGGGCUUCACACAAUCUACAUCCCCUUCCUUGAGCUUCACAAUCACCACAGUCAGGUUUAUACCAACGUAAUUGAAAACGGAUACCGUAAGGAGAAAUGGGUGUUGAAAAGUUGCCAAAGUAGCUGCAAUUCAACAGGUUGAAUCCAUAAUAAUAGUCAUCAGAAGUAAAAGCUAUAAUUUGGGAGCCAGGGGUGCUUAAGCAAGCGACUCUAUAUCUUUUUUUAUACAAAGCCUUCUCUUGGCUUGAACAUUCAAACAAGGUAUAGUUGGAUUCAGCUGGUUGGGAUCUAUAAACUUUUAGGCGGCUGAAACCUGGUUGUUCCUCCGCGAAUGGAAAGGCAGAUAAAUUGAGAUAAAAAAGCUGCUUCCAGAGGCAACGGCCGGGAACGUACAAGUCAAUCCGCUGAGCUUCAUAAUCUAUGUGCUUCACCAACAGCUUCAGCGAACGUGGUAUCCUCAGCAGGGUCUGUUUGUUUUCUGAGCAGGAAAGCUGAAACCCAGGAUGAGGAUAGCCGCAGUGGGGUGACUGCUGGCCUUCUAAACGAAAGGGGAAACGGACAGGUGGAUCCUGGUGGUUGCACCGCUGCACCUUGCAGUCGUCUUGGAUUGGCACUGCUUCUGCAACAUUCACAGCUAAGAUAAAGCAGAAUAACGAGUAAAUUAACAUUGUUCUUACUAACUUGUGAGCCCCUGAAGUGAAACGGGCUUUAAAUAGUUUCAUUGACAUAGGUGGUUCAGCCCUUGAGAGUUCCAAUUAUGCACGCAACGCAGCUGCUGCUUUACUAUAUAGAUUUGUCUCGUUUAACAGGGUCUUCAACUCUUCGUCCUCUCUUUGUCCUCUUUUAUGAGUAAAUGUUGGACAUGUUUGAUUGUUAGCAACCCUUUCUAAUCUUGUUACUAAUUUUCUUUUAUUACCGUUAGUUGUAGUAAAAUUUGAGGAAAAAACACUGAACAUGAGAAUGAAUACCGAUUUGCUGUUGUGAUCAUAGUGGGGUUAGCUUGACUGACUUUUGUUUUUCCACCUUCGUUUCACUACAUUUUGUUUGGUAUGACUAAGAAGUUGACUGACUUUUAUGGGUUCUUUUUAAUGUCUAUCGUUUCUUUUCUAAUGUAGGUGGUUUUUUUCUCACUUUCUUUUUUUCUAAUUUAUCUUUUACUUUUAAAAAUGGCAAAACUCGAAUCAUAUGUUUUUAAAUUACUUAUACAAAUUUUUUAAAAGUGGAUACAAGACAAUGAGAUGAUUUUUUCCACAUGAGUAUGAAACAAUUAUAGUCAUUGUUUGCUCUACUCACCCUAUCUCGAAAUAAUCUUUUACCUUUCUUUGUAUAUAAUUAUUAAAAUGAUAAAAAUGUAAUAAUAUAUUAUAGAAAAAAUUCAUAUGUUUUAUACUUAUAUUUUUUAAAAAUUAUGUUUAAAUAUUUACUUGUCUUAAAAAAAGUAAAAUUAUUAAAAUAACUAGAAAUAAAAAUUAAAUUAAAUUAGAGCGAAGCAAGGUGAGAUGGGAUGGGGAUGGAUGCUUCUAAUAUCUAUGCGGUGAUAGUAAUUUUUCAGAUUAUACAUCCAACACAAGUAAAAAUUCAUAUGCAAGGAAUCAAAAUAUCAGUCCACUAAGCCAAUAAUUUAAUUACAACAUUAAGAUAAUUUAAAACGUAACGAUUACAAACUAAUUUUUUAAAUGUUGGUUGCUUAAAACGUAAGGAUCACAUGCACUAUAAACGUAAGGACCACCGUUGAAAGCCAUGCAAAAAUCUACAAUUUUAUAUUUAUAUGUACAUAUAUACAUAUACAUAUACACGUAAACACUAUAAAUCAUGCCAACCAUUAACAAAGCCAUGCAAAUAUUUAUAUUUAUAUUUAUAUAUUUCAUAUAUUUAUACAUUCACAUGCACAUAACUAAAUACGACAUCAUGCAAAUAUAGUUAUGUACAGAAUAUUGAUAUAUUAUCUCAUUAAUUUUAAAAAUAAACAACACCAAAAGACCAAGCUUUACACUACUCACACGACAUAACAUUGGGUUCACGAAUCCUCAAAGCACUACUCCCUCUGGGCUUUCUAUUAACAGCAACCUCCUUUGUCUUUAUUUGGUUGUGGCUUCUAUGCAGAUUAGACGAGAGGCUUCAAUGGAUGAUAUAAAAGAGGUGGUGUUGGUCAGUGUUGGGCAGAGGUGGCCUGAUGUCGGUGCAAGGAGAUCAACGGUUAGGGACGAGGGUGACUGUGGAGCGAUGAGAUGUUGGGGCGACGGAAGAACUCACGAUGGCGGUGAUAGGGCGGACAAUGGUGCAUUGAUGGAGAUGACUCCAAGGCAGCGUGAUGAAAGGGAGGGACGACUUGGGGCAGUUGGCUGACGGUGUGGCGACUAAGAGGAUCGGUGCUUAGUGAUGGAAUGAAGGAGAUAAUGCCUGACGUUGGGGAGUGAAAGGUGGUAAUCAGUCUUUUAUUAGGUUUGAUAGUAGGAAAGUUUGACCAAAUGUAUUCAUUCUUUUUUAGUCAUAACUCUGAAACCUAAUUGAUGAUGAUGAUAGAGCACACACACCUAAGCCACCACUCUCUCGACUAAGUACAGUUUUUUUUGUUGCUUUUGAAAAUUGUUUUUAGAAAAUACCUUUAAAAAAUACUUUUAAAAAAUUUGAAUAUUUGGUAUUGCUAUAAAAAAAUAUGAUAUUAUAAAGUAAUAAAUAUGUGUUUAAAUAAUAUUCAAAUUAGUUAAUAUUAUGAUAUUUUAGCAAAAAAAUAAAAAAUAAUUUAUUAUAACUUAUUGUUAAUAUUUUAAUAUAUAAUAUUAAUUUUAAAUAUUUCUAAGUAAUUAAUAUUAAUUAUUUAUUAACUUUAAUUAGAAUAUAUAAACUAUAUUUAAAUAUUUAAAUAUAAUAAUUAAAUAAUUGUAAUUAGAUAUUGACACAACUGUAUUAUUAUAAAAAUUAUUUUUUAUUUUUAAUUAAUGCUUUUAACACAUUUGUAUUAUUUUAUUUUAAAAUGUAUUUGAAUAUAUAACUCAUAUUAGAUAUUAACAUAACAUAGAAAACAUAAACCUAAAAAAUUAAAAUAUUACAUAUAUUUGGAUUAAAGUUUUAAAAAGGGAUAAUAUUUAUAUACCAAAUAUAAAUACUAAAAAUUUUACAAUAGCAUUUACAAUUUAAAGUGAAUUCAUUAAACUAGAAGCUAUAGCAUCUCUUGUUAAUUCCAUUUCAAAACCACUUGAAUUGUUUGAUUCACUGUCAUCAUCACUAUCUUCGUCGUCGUCGUCAUCAUCAUCACUUUAUCGACCAUGCGCAUUUUCUGAAUCAAUAAUUGUAAUAGCCCGAUUUUAGGCUUAGUCGGAACAGUGGUUUCGGGACCACAAAUCCGACGAAAAAAAAUGUAAUGGCUUGAAUUUUCAGAGGUGUCGGAACGGUGAUUCGAGAUCACUAAAUUCGACAAAUGGGUAGAAAAUAUUAUUAAUUUAGUAAGUAUAAGUUAAAUAUGAAGUUAGGAAAAUUUUUGAAAUAGUGAAUAGUGCACUAGAAAUAAAUAUUAAAAUAAUUAGAAUCGAAAUGAGGUAUCAAGACCUCGGGGAUUUUAAACUGAGCCAUAAAUAUUUUUAUAAAUAUUUAUGGAGUGUUAAAAAGUUAGUAUUAUAGUUUCGUUAAGAAAUUUUAAAGUUCUGAUAAUUAAUUGAACAAAAAGGACUAAAUUGUAACAAAUGCAAAAUUUUGGGAAAUGAUUAAAUAGCUUAAAUGAUAAAAGGAAGAGGGCUUAAAAGGCAAAUAGACCCAAGGUCUAUUUGGGCUGGACGGCAGAGGCAUGAAAUCAGCAAGAAAGAAAGGAGAAUUAAGGGAAAAAUUGGAAAAUUGCAAAAUUUGCUUAAUAAAGUUAGGACCCAAGUGGAAUUAUCUAGAUUUCUCUUCAUUUUUUUGAAUUCUCAUCAGCUAAAACACCAUGGAAGGGCUUCUUCAAGCUGGUUCUUCAUAUUUUUAUUACAAGUAAGUUCAAUUCUUGACUAUUUCUUGAAAUUUUUGUAUUUUUAUGACUUUUACAACUAGGCCCACUUGUUAAAUCCAUUAUUUUUUGAUUUUAUGAAAGAAGUUGAAAGUUGAUAUGAAUAUGUGCUGGAAGUAUAUGAUGAUUUAGCAUGAAAUUAGAGCUUUAAAUUGUUCAUAUGCUGAUUUUAUUGAAAGAAUUGAAUAGAAAGUGAAUGUUUGGGACCUAAUAGUAAAAGAGUUUGAAGAUAGAGUUAUAUGUGGAAAUUCUGAAUUUCAAUAGUUGUGUAACAACUUAUAAUGUCUAGUAAAGUACUAAUUGAGAAAAUUAGAUUAAUUGAGGGGUUAAUUGAGAAAGGACCGAAUUGUAUAAACUGUGAAAUUUGGGGCAAAAUGGAAAUCAACAUUUUGCACUAAAGCAGUUUUGGACAGCAGCAGUAGUGUAACUUUGAAAAAUCACCAAAAAUUGUAGAGAUUGAAUUAGAGGAUGAAUAAAAUAUGAAACUAAAGCUUAUUGAGUCUAGUUUCUUAUAAAAGAAAUGAUGUGAGCAAUGGAAUUGUAAAUCAUGAGAUAUAAUAGAUUUUGUGAGACAAGGUCAGAAUGAAUUCGGGUUCCCCUGUUCUGACUUUGGAAAAUCAUUAAAAAUUGUACAAAAAUGAUUAUGAGUUUUAGUUUAUAUGGUUAGAAUCCUUAAUGAGUCUAUUUUUAGAAGAAACAAGCUAAAACAUCAUCCGAAUUCUAUACAAUGAGAUAAUUAAUUUUUAGUGAAGAGUGGUUGGAACUGUCAGACAGCAAAACAGGGGAAACUUUAAAGAAUAAACUGUACUAUUUGGCUGAACCAAAAAUUAUGAAAAUUUUAUGGUAUUAAGAUAUGUGAGUCUAGUUUCAGGGAAAAUUAACGGAUCUUAAUUUGGAGCUCUGUAGCUCCGGAUAAAAAUAAUUUAGUGACUCUGACUCGGAUAAAUAGCUUUGAAUAUACAUGUUAGUGAAUAUUGAAAUUAUGGUUAAUGUUGUUUAAGUGUGUUAUACACAUUAAGGAUGUGGAAUGGAGAGGAGGAGGAGGAAAAUUGGGAAAUAUAUGAAUGAUUCGUGUAUAAAUGGUCAUAUGUUUGAUUAUAACUCAUAAACGAUGAAAUAUGAAUGAUGCUUAUUUUUGUGCAUUAUUGGUCAUGGUUUAAGCUCAUGUGUGAAAAUAAAGUUUCAUAGUAUGUGUGUAUGGUAUAUUCAGUAUAUGAUUUGGCAUGAAAUAAUACCAUGAAUGGUUUAUGAAUUAACACAUGUUGGUAAGCCUGAUAUAUGAAUAAAUGAUCAAAUUGAGCGGAACGCCGGAUUUGAGUACUUCUGAUCAAGUGACAAAGUGAUAAGUGGUAGCUUUAGCUACACUUAUCUGAUCAAGUGACAAGUGGAAAGUGAUAAGUAAUAGCUUCGGCUAUACUUAUCUGAUCAAGUGACAAAGUGAUAAGUGAUAGCUUCGGCUACACUUAUCUGAUCAAGUGACAAGUGAAAAGUGAUAAGUGAUAGCUUCGGCUAUACUUAUCUGAUCAAGAGACAAAGUGAUAAGUGAUAGCUUUAGCUACACUUAUCUGAUCAAGAGACAAAGUGAUAAGUGGCUACACUUAUCUGAUCAAGAAACAAAGUGAUAAGUGGCUACACUUAUCUGAUCAAGAAACAAAGUGAUAGGUGGCUACACUUAUCUGAUCAGGGACAAGUGAUAAGUGAUCAUACGUAAGACCAUAGUUAUACUAUGGCAAAGUGAAAGUGAAGUACUCAAUUUUCCGUGACCGUUCCGUAAUUUGAUUAAGGAUGGUAAGUGACAAAUGGGCCCAAAAGAAUUAAAGUAAAUGGAUAAGUGGUAGUGUAUUUAUAUCAGGACGAUGUUGUUAUUCAAACUAAAGUGAUAUUUUCAUUGCUAAAUUGAGAAUUUCAUAAAUGUGUUAUUGAAUGGUAUAAUCAAUAAACAUUGAGUUAAAUGGUAAAUACGUAUUAGUUUUGAAUUUGAUGUCAUUGAAUUGUACGUGAAUUAAAUGGAAAUUGCUAGUGAUAUGAUUUAAAUUAUGAGCAUGAGAAAUUGCGAAUUGAAUGAAAUGGAAAUGAAGCAUUAAAUUGCAUGAGUAUGUAUCGGGUCUCGCAGGCCCUAAUUAUUAUGAAUAUAUUAUUUUGAGGAUAUACUGUGAAAAGUUAUAGAAACAUGUUAAUUAUUUUGAAAGUUUUAAUUUUGAUGAAAUUUUAUAACUCGGUUAAAUACGUUUACAAGUGUAUGUGUUUUGGUAAUGCCUCGUACCCUAUUCCGGUGUUGGAUACGGGUAAGGGGUGUUACAAUAAUAUUCUCAUAUGCCCAGUUAAUAUCUUCGUAUUCCAUAAAAUCUGCAUCAUUUCGACCGAAAUGUUUUCAGAUAAAAUUGUGUAUUGUCAUUGUAGCAACAACGAUCAUGGUUUGCUUUUCAAAAAUAUAACUUGGCAUAUCCCUUAAAAUGGCCCUUUUUUUCAAAACACCAAAAGUUCGUUCAAUCACACUACGUAAUGAUGAAUGUGAAUGAUUGAAUAUCUCUUCUAUACCAGAUAUCGGUCUACCUCUACGAAAGUCAAGUAAAUGAUAUCGUAUGGGUUUUGCUUAUGAUUGCGGCACUCUUUAAUAUGUACCAUUUGCAAUACAUUUAAGUAAAAAUAUUAUUAUAUAUAAAGUCCUAAGGCAGUCAUUAAGAAAACCCAUGUAGUUACUUCAAACAUGUGGUAUUAUUGAUUAUCAAAGUAAUGGCAUUAAAGGCAUGACUUCCCCACUCCACCGGUCCAGGUGCAACUGCAUUAAUGGAGUAAAAAAGACACAUACCUAGCUACAAAACUCAAUUAUGGCUUGUUUCCAAACCUUACCAAACCAUGAACUCAACAUGAUACUUCAAACAAUUGAAUCACCAAACUAAAAGAGAAAAAAAGAAUUUCAAAAACUAGAAUAAAUUGCUUGGAUGUUUAAGUUCAAACCUGGGAAUAUAUAUAUAGAAACGCAAAAGUUGAAGCAAAAAGAAAAGAAAAAAGCCAGUGUAACCUCCAGUAAGAAGCUCAAAAGAAUGGAAAUGCUAGCAUUUACCAAUCAAAAUUAAUAUAUAGUAAAGUAAUUAAGUUGAAAAAAAGAACUUUGCAAAUGAAGAAGAGACAGAAAACAACACACAUAAAAAAUGGACAAAGACUGAUGAUGUUUGUAAACCAUCCAGAAAAUAGAAUAAGAAGAGAACAAAUCCAUCAACCACCUCUCUGAAAACUAUCCAUUUGCCAGCAGAGGAACAAAAAACCAGCACCAGCAGAGGAACAAAGAACGAGCGAUGAGAGAAGAGAUGAGAGCAAAGAACCAGUGUUGUAUGUGUGGUUAAAAAAGUAAAAGACCAGCCCAAAAGUACUUUUCGGCUGAAAAAGCUAAAAAAUUCUACUUUUUCAUCUGCCCAAAAGCACUUCAAAUAAGUUCGAAAUUUGCUACCAAAUGAAGUCUGUUCUGCAUUACUUUUUAGAGAAAAGCACUUUUCCUUUACUGAAUUGAAUUAAUGGAAAAAAACGACAAAGAGUGUAAUUUUUACUUUACUUUACUGAAAGUGAAUGGAUAAAUAUGGAAUUAGAGAAUAAAGAAAAUUGGGGAAAAAAGAAGAAGAAGAAGGAGAAGUGUUGUCAUGAUUAUGACCCUUGGAUAUUAUGGAAGAAGUGAAGAAAUAAUUGCAAUUGGAUAUUAAUUAUAAUGUUGGGAUUUUUAUUAAUGUUUUAAUUAUAUUAAUUGUUACAUGGCCGUGUGGCUCAAAUGGACGUGUGGAAGAGGUCAGUUUAUGUGGCUCCCGUACUUGUUUUGAUUUUCAAUUCUUGAUAAGUGUCAAAAGUAACAUAUUUUAAUUUCGUUCUUAAUACGUUUUUAGAUGAUUAAUCAAUGCAAAAUGGUGAAUUUUAUACUCAUAAUCCUUUAAAUUUAUAUUUCUAUACUUAUAAGAGCAUUUUGAGAGAAAAAUGAGUGAAAACGGAGCGAAAAUCAGACAAUUGGAGUAGAUUUUAGGAGCCACAUGGGUUGGACACACGAUCAUGUGAGCCAUACGAGCUGCCAGACAGCCAUGUGCCAGACCGUGUGGAUUUCGCGUUUCACACUCCAAAUAUGUGGAAUCACGCAGUUUUUAGGUUUUUCGGGCAUUCUUAGACCUAUAUAUACCAAAUAUAAGGAGAGAAGUAAGAGCCGUCAGAGAAUAUUGAAGAAAACAACUCAGAAGACACCAUUGAAGCCAACUUUGAAACAGAUUUCCACUAAGAUUGAAGAUCUCCUUUUGAUUUAUUUGAAGUUUAUUAUGAGUUUCUUUAUUUUUUUGUGGUUAUAUUGUCUUUGAGAUGUUUUUAUUCGCGAUUAUGAACUAAUUUUCUAAUACCUAGGGGAGAUGAACCUUAUGAUGAAUUUUGUCUUUUGAUUUCUGUUUUAUGCAAUGAAUAAUUGAAUCUUAUUCUUAGUUAUGUGUGCUUAAUUCUUGAUUUAAUAUUUUCGAAUUAUUAAUUCAUGUUUGAUGUGCUUAAUUCAAAGUAGAUCUAGCAUAAUUGAGUGGAGUUGCAUGUAAUCUUAGAAAUAGGACGACAUAAAUCUACCGAAUUAGGUAUUCAUAAAUGAGAACUCAAUCAUAUCCAUCGGCACAAAACCCAACCAGGCGAGUCACAUUUACAUAGUGGAUUCUACCCAUCGAACUCACCUCAUUGAUGAACUCUUAAUAGUUAACUAAAGUUUGCUUUCUACUUUUUUUUUAUUUCUAUUUUUAAGAAAAUGUUAUUUUAUUAAUUCAAUUAUCAAAAUUAAUAUUAUUUUAUUUAAAUUAGAUUAAUCCUCAUUUAAUUAUUACAAGUAUAUUAUUUUAGAAUUAUAAAAAUUAUUAUUUAAUAAAUUAAACAAAUAAACAUUUAAAAUCACAUACAUUACAUUAAAAACUAAUAUAUCUAAAUAUAUAUUUUACCACUUAUUUUAAUCUUGUUAUUUUUAAUUUCAUCAAAAUUAUAUAUCACUCGAGCCACUGCGACUGCUGACUGGCGAUUAUUGCCUGCAUAAUUUGAUGAAAGGUUCUGAAUUAAUACAUCCAAGACUUUUAUGAGCAUCGCCAUUGACUGACCGACGACUUGUAUGAAUGAAUUUUCCACAUUAGCUUUAUUAUGGACUGAUUUUUCAAAGAAAGAAUUUUCCACUUGCUCUCAGUUGCAGCCAUAAAAUAAAUGAAUGAUUGGCAUUUUACAUUAAAGAACAUCCCAUUGUUUAUUUCUUCAUCGGAGCUCCACCGGAACCUGAUGAUGUUAAGACCCAGACUUGUCUUGUUUAGCGUCUUUGCCCUUACUUUAUCUCUAUCCCCAGAUGUUUCCGAUGGUAGAGCAGGCAAAAGCAACCACUGCAACCCAUCUUUGUGUGGACACGUUAAUAUCAGUCACCCUUUCCGACUAAAGGGUCAGCCUCGAGAAUGUGGUGACCGUAGGUUUGAAUUAGAGUGCAAGGGAAACCGCACCAGUUUUCCCACGAAAUACGGAAACUUUUAUGUCCUAAACAUCUCUUAUGUUUACGGAACGCUUCGACUUGUGGAUGUGAGUCUGGUCGAUGAAAACUGCUCAAUUCCUCGCAGUUCCAUUGUCGAUUCUUCAGACAGCUAUCUAGAAUACAUAAUAGCGAAUGGAGCAGACACCAUGUAUCUGGUAAAUUGCACGACAAAGAUGAAGUCUUCUUCAGUUUAUGUCGAUGCUUCUCGUUGCCCAACCAAUAGCUCUUCUUCUCCUUGGACCUACUUCUACUUUCCGGUCUUGUUUUCAAAUAUAUCCGAUUUCCAUCAUUCGUGCAGAUUUAUAUGUUAACAUUAAUGGGAGACAACAUUAAUGGCAAACAAUACAAAGUGGUGCAAGUUUAGCACCCUAAAGUUGACUUUGAAAAAAGUGGCAUGGGAUAAUUUUUUUUGGUCAUUGAGAUAAUGGGCUAUUUAUUGUUUGGUCCUUAAACCUCAACUAUAAAUAGGCCUUCUCAUUUCUCAUUUCAAUUCAUCCCAACCAAUCUUUCUCUCUUAGUUUUAUCUCUUCUCCCAUUUGAGAAUUCUUAAGGAAUUCUAUUUGUUUGUAAUAUUUUGGAGAUAGUAAAGUUAUCAUCUGGUUUUAGUAGCCCGAGGACGUAGGUAUAAUUUACUGAACCUCGUUAAAACUCUUGUAUUCUUUUUGUCCUAUUUUUCUUUCAAUAUUUGAGGGUAUAAUAGUAGUAUUUAAUUGUGCUAUUAAAUUACGUUAGAAGGAAUAUUCUGACUAAGGAAAGACUUGGUAUUUAAGAGAUCCUUGUGAUCCACCUCUCUUCCCUGGGAAUUGAACUUUGUGUGAUUUUUAGUACAAUAAUUUACACGCUUCCGACCCUAUUGGAACUACAAGUGGUAUCAAGAGCCGAAGGUUAAUCGUAGUAUGCUCUGUGGUUGCAGUUUAAACUGAUCUUCCACAUCAGAAAAGAUUUCUUUAGGUAUAUUGAAAGAUUAUGGAGAAAACAGUCGGUGUAGGAGCUUCAACAUCGUCCAUAUGGACAAGACCGACAAUUGCAAAUGCAAGAUUGGCCGUGGAGAUCUUUGAUGGCACGGGCCAUUUUGGUAUGUGGCGAAGUGAGGUUCUAGAUGCCCUUUUUCAGCAGGGUCUAGACAUUGCCAUUGAUGAAGAGAAACCAGAUGAUGUACAGGAGAAAGAUUGGAAGGCGAUCAAUCGGUUGGCAUGUGGCACAAUUCGAUCAUGCUUUUCUCGAGAGCAGAGGUAUGCUUUUUCAAAGGAGACUUCUGCAAAUAAGUUGUGGGUGGCACUUGAAGAAAAAUUUUUGAAGAAAAACAGUCAAAAUAAGCUCCACUUGAAGAAAAGACUGUUUCGCUUCACAUACGUCCCAAGUACCACAAUGAAUGAUCACAUCACCAAAUUUAAUCAGUUAGUCACUGAUUUGCAGAAUAUGGAUGAGACAUUCAAAGAUGAAGAUUUGGCUUUGAUGCUAUUGGGGUCACUUCCUGAGGAGUUUGAGUUCCUAGAAACUACUCUACUUCAUGGCAGGAGUGAUAUAUCUCUGAGCGAAGUCUGUGCGGCCUUAUACAGUUAUGAACAGAGAAAGAAGGACAAACAGAAAAACUCAAUCAGAGAUACAGAAGCUUUAGUAGUCCGAGGUCGUUCAUACACUCGGAAGAAAACUCAAAAGGGGAGAUCAAAGUCAAAGUCCAGACUCGGGAAAAAUGAAUGUGCUUUUUGUCAUGAGAAAGGCCACUGGAAGAAAAAUUGUCCAAAGCUGAAGAAUAAGGGAAAAGCUGCUGUAGAUGCUUGUGUUGCUAAGCAUGAUACUAGUGACUCUGAACUAUCACUGGUUGCAUCAUCAUCGUCGUUCCAUUCAGAUGAGUGGAUAUUGGAUUCGGGUUGUACCUAUCAUAUGUCCCCUAACCGGGAGUGGUUCUCUGAUUUAGUAGAACUAAAUGGAGGAGUUGUUUAUAUGGGCAAUGACAAUGCCUAUAAAACUGUUGGGAUAGGUUCAAUCCAAUUAAAGAAUAAAGAUGGAUCAACCAGAGUUCUGACUGAUGUUCGGUACGUGCCCAGUUUGAAGAAAAAUCUCAUCUCAUUGGGAGCCUUGGAAUCCAAUGGUUCAGUUGUUACUAUGAGAGAUGGGAUUUUGAAAGUGACAUCUGGCGCACUUGUGAUAUUGAAGGGCAUCAGAAAAAAUAACUUGUAUUACUACCAAGGUAGUACAGUGAUUGGAGCAGUCGCUGCAGCUUCCGGCAACAAAGAAUUGGACUCAAUACAGUUGUGGCAUAUGAAGUUGGGACAUGCCAGCGAAAAAUCCUUACAAAUUCUGGCAAAGCAAGGAUUGUUGAAAGGUGCAAAGGCUUGCAAAUUAAAAUUUUGCGAGCAUUGUGUUCUGGGAAAGCAAAAGAGAGUGAAAUUCGGUACUGCUAUCCAUAAUACAAAAGGUAUUUUGGAAUAUGUUCACUCAGAUGUGUGGGGGCCUUCCAAGACACCUUCAUUGGGAGGAAAACACUACUUUGUUACUUUUGUUGAUGACUUUUCCAGAAGAGUUUGGGUGUAUACCAUGAGAACUAAGGAUGAAGUGCUUAGAGUUUUUCUUAAAUGGAAAACUAUGAUCGAAAACCAGACUGGCAAGAAAAUCAAGCGGCUUAGGACGGACAAUGGAGGGGAAUAUAAAAGUGAUCCGUUCUUCGAUGUGUGCCAAGAGUAUGGUAUUGUUCGACACUUCACAGUUAGGGAUACACCACAGCAGAAUGGAUUGGCAGAGCGUAUGAAUCGAACAUUGCUGGAGAAAGUUCGAUGUAUGUUGUCCAAUGCUGGGUUGGGCAAGCAAUUUUGGGCUGAGGCUGUGACAUACGCUGGCCAUCUUGUUAAUCGUUUGCCAUCAUCUGCAUUAGAAAGAAAAACUCCUAUGGAGGUAUGGUCUGGAAAACCGGCUACAGAUUAUGAUUCCUUACAUGUGUUUGGAACCACUGCAUAUUACCAUGUGAAGGAGUCAAAGUUAGAUCCGAGGGCAAAGAAAGCUCUCUUUAUGGGAAUCACUUCUGGAGUGAAGGGAUUUCGUCUUUGGUGCUUAAGCACAAAGAAAAUGAUCUGUAGCAGAGAUGUUACCUUUGAUGAAUCUGCCACAUUGAAAAAGGUAGCAGAUAAAGAUAUUCAGACGAGCAAUACUCCACAGCAGGUGGAGUGUACUCCAAAACAGGUGGAGUUUGAGCAGAUGGGGAUUUGCCCAGUUAAUAAGUCUAAUUCUCCAGCCACAAUGGAGGAAUUAGAGGUUGAAGAGGUUCUGACCCAAGAACCACUAAGUACACCAGAACCAGUUGCAGUUGCAAGGCCACGGAGAGAAAUUCGUAAACCUGCUCGAUUUACUGAUAUGGUGGCCUACGCCCUUCCUGUUGUUGAUGAUAUUCCUAUCACUUAUCAAGAAGCAAUGCAAAGCUUAGAAAGUGAUAAAUGGAAAAGCGCCAUGGAUGAAGAAAUACAGUCUCUCCGGAAGAACAAUACUUGGGAGUUGGCGCAAUUACCGAAAGGUAAAAGGGAAAUCGGAUGCAAGUGGGUAUUUGCAAAGAAAGAUGGAUCUCCUAGCAAGAAGGAUAUUCGCUACAAGGCAAGAUUGGUAGCUAAAGGCUACGCUCAGAAGGAGGGAAUUGACUACAAUGAUGUAUUUUCCCCUGUUGUGAAGCAUUCCUCCAUUAGAAUUUUGUUGGCCUUGGUAGCACAGUUAAAUUUGGAGCUAGCUCAACUUGAUGUUAAGACGGCUUUUUUGCAUGGUGAGUUAGAAGAGGAGAUCUAUAUGACUCAGCCCGAAGGAUACACAGAUGCUGGUAGUAGAAAUUGGGUUUGUAAGCUGAACAAAUCGCUAUAUGGAUUGAAGCAAUCCCCGAGGCAGUGGUACAAGCGAUUUGAUAGCUUUAUGAGAAGGCAGAAGUACACAAGAAGCAAAUAUGACAAUUGUGUAUAUUUGCAGAAGCUGCAUGACGGAUCUUUCAUUUAUCUACUCUUGUAUGUUGAUGAUAUGUUAAUCGCUUCGAAGAGCCAAAAUGAGAUAGAUAAGCUGAAGGCUCAGUUGAAUCAAGAGUUCGAGAUGAAAGAUCUAGGUGAGGCCAAGAAGAUUCUCGGCAUGGAGAUAAGUAGAGAUAGACCGAGAGGCAAGCUCUGUUUAAAUCAGAAGCAAUAUCUGAAAAAAGUAUUACAAUGUUUUGGUGUAAAUGAAAACACAAAACAUGUAAGUACCCCACUUGCUUUUCAUUUGAAACUUAGUGCUCAAUUAUCUCCGAAGACUGAAGAUGAAAGAGAAUAUAUGGCGAAAGUCCCAUAUGCUAAUGCAGUUGGGAGUUUGAUGUAUGCGAUGGUGUGUACGAGGCCUGACAUUUCACAAGCUGUUGGAGUUGUGAGCAGGUAUAUGCAUGAUCCUGGAAAAGGACAUUGGCAAGCUGUGAAAUGGAUUCUACGGUAUCUUCGAAAAACCGUAGAUGUUGGUUUAAUUUUUGAACAGGAUGAAGCACUUGGUCAGUUUGUAGUUGGAUAUGUUGAUUCCGACUUUGCUGGUGAUUUAGAUAAACGUCGUUCAACUACGGGGUAUCUGUUUACUCUUGCGAAAGCCCCAGUGAGUUGGAAGUCUACCUUACAGUCUACAGUAGCUGUGUCUACUACAGAGGCAGAAUAUAUGGCAGUUACAGAAGCUGUUAAGGAGGCUAUUUGGCUUAAUGGAUUAUUGAAAGACUUGGGAGUUGUUCAAAGUCACAUUAGUCUAUAUUGUGACAGUCAGAGUGCUAUUCAUUUAGCGAAAAAUCAAGUCUAUCAUUCAAGAACCAAGCAUAUCGACGUAAGAUAUCACUUUGUGCGGGAAGUCUUUGAAAAAGGAAAAAUUCUACUUCAGAAGAUUCCGACAGCAGAUAAUCCCGCAGAUAUGAUGACCAAGGUGGUAACAACAAUCAAGUUUAAUCAUUGUUUGAACUUGAUUAACAUCUUGAGAAUUUGAGCACCUUUAGGUGUAUGGCGCUCGAGAGCGCAUUUGGAGGCACUACAAAAGAUAGCUUUAUCGAAUUUGGGGAGUUGAAGGAAGUGUGUGAAUAUGUGAUUAUCCUAAUCAAAUCUUCAAGGUGGAGAUUGUUAACAUUAAUGGGAGACAACAUUAAUGGCAAACAAUACAAAGUGGUGCAAGUUUAGCACCCUAAAGUUGACUUUGAAAAAAGUGGCAUGGGAUAAUUUUUUUUGGUCCUUGAGAUAAUGGGCUAUUUAUUGUUUGGUCCUUAAACCUCAACUAUAAAUAGGCCUUCUCAUUUCUCAUUUCAAUUCAUCCCAACCAAUCUUUCUCUCUUAGUUUUCUCUCUUCUCCCAUUUGAGAAUUCUUAAGGAAUUCUGUUUGUUUGUAAUAUUUUGGAGAUAGUAAAGUUAUCAUCUGGUUUUAGUAGCCCGAGGACGUAGGUAUAAUUUAUUGAACCUCGUUAAAACUCUUGUGUUCUUUUUGUCCUAUUUUUCUUUCAAUAUUUGAGGGUAUAAUAGUAGUAUUUAAUUGUGCUAUUAAAUUACAUUAGAAGGAAUAUUCUGACUAAGGAAAGACUUGGUAUUUAAGAGAUCCUUGUGAUCCACCUCUCUUCCCUGGGAAUUGAACUUUGUGUGAUUUUUUAGUAUAAUAAUUUACACGCUUCCGACCCUAUUGGAACUACAUUAUAGCCCAGUUUCCUGUCAUGCUUUCCAAUAUUAGUGGCUUAUCCCCUUCGUACAUUUACAAAAACCUGUUGGAAGGCGUCGACGUGUACUGGUAUAUACCCUAUACUGAUUGGACUUUAAACCCGAUUCUCAAAGUGUAAGAGACUUCGAUCUUUAGAUUCUUUCAAUCUAUAACUUUUCAAGGUCUUAUUUAUUGAUUGGUUGCUUUUGUUUUUCCUUGGGGGGGUUAUUCUAGCCUGCUACAUUUGGUGAACUAUCUGCUACUUCCAAUUACAGCAUACAUAGUAAGCAAUGUGGCCUUUCUUCUACCGGGAAUCUUCGGCCAUUAUCCUUUUGGGAAAGGUUAAUCUUUCAGAUUUCAUAAGUAUCUUUAUUUAUUGGAUUUGCCCUUGAAUUGUAUUCGAGUUAGUAAUUUUAUUGUUCAAUUUGCGUUUUAAACAGGAGCCACCUUCGUUUGUCUUGCAGUAUCAGGUAAAUCUCUUUCCCUUCCCACUUUUUAUGUUAUCUUUAUAAAAUAAUCAUGAAUGCUGAUUUAUCCUUGUGUAUGCACCUUGAUGGGCAAGCAGGCAUAUUGUUAGCGAGAACUUUGUUGGGGAUAUUCUGCCUCAUUACACUUGUCAUACACAAACUAAAGAGGAGGCAUUUAUCGAUGGAUGAUAAUAUUGAAAACUUUCUUCAAAGUCAAAGUAAUUUAAUACCAAUUCGAUAUUCGUAUUCUGAAAUAAAAAGAAUUACGGAAGGUUUUAAAGUUAAAUUAGGUCAAGGAGGUUAUGGUUCUGUGUUUAAAGGAAAGCUUCGCAGUGGUCGGCUAGUGGCAAUAAAAAUGUUGGAUAAAUCCAAAGCAAAUGGGGAAGAUUUCAUCAAUGAAGUUGCUACUAUUGGAAGGAUUCAUCAUAUUAAUGUAGUGCAACUUAUUGGGUUUUGUGUAGAGAGAUCAAAACAAGCUCUUGUAUAUGAUUUUAUGGUGAAUGGGUCUUUGGAUAAAAUUAUAUUUUCAAAGGAGAAUUGCACUUUAAGUUGGCAAAAAUUAUUUGAGGUUGCAUUAGGUGUGGCUCGAGGGAUUGAGUACUUGCACAGGGGUUGUCAAAUGCAAAUUUUGCAUUUUGAUAUCAAGCCGCACAACAUUCUUUUGGAUGAAAACUUUAUCCCUAAAGUUUCUGAUUUUGGUCUUGCAAAAUUAUAUUCAGUGGAUGACAGUAUUAUUUCUCUCACAGCGGCUCGUGGUACAUUAGGAUACAUUACUCCUGAAUUAUUUUACAGAAAUAUUGGAGGCAUCUCAUAUAAAGCCGAUAUUUAUAGUUUUGGAAUGUUAUUAAUGGAAAUGGUGGGAAGAAGAAAGAAUUUGAAUGCAUUUGAUGAUCAUUCUAGUCAAAUCUAUUUUCCGUCAUGGAUUUAUGAUCGAUUUGAACAAAGAGAGAACAUAGAAUUAGGGGAUGUAACAGAAGUUGAUGACAAAAUAGCAAGGAAGAUGAUCAUGGUUGCAUUUUGGUGUAUACAAAUGAAUCCCACUAAUCGUCCUUCAAUGAGCAAAGUUUUGGAAAUGCUCGAAAAUGAACUUGAUCACCUUGAAUUGCCGUCCAGACCUUCACUAUUUUCUCUCGAAAAGUCAAUUGAAGAUCAUGUUAGUAAGAAUGUAUCGGAGGAACCAUCAACGUCAAAAAGUUGUGUGGACCUCUAAGUAUAAUGUUUGAUUUUAUUCGGUCCUUUUAUACAUAUAGUUCUGCAACUGUAAGCUUUUAAUUUGUAGCUUUUCAUGUUCAGUUGUAUAAUAUCCAGCAUCAUGUAAUACAACUAUUAAUGGAUGUGUGUUUUAGACUUUAGCUCCUUAGCUUCAUGUUUCAAUUAUUAAAAAUGUCUCCUUGUCACCGUAUGACGAGUUAAUAUCAAAUUUCGUUUACAAUUAUUUAGUAUAUAAGUAACUCUUAACAUUGCGUGAUCUCAUGAGAAGGUUUUUACUCUCGUAUCGUAAUAUAUAAUCAUGCUGAUAAGAGUAUUUUGUAAUAAUUAUGAGUGUGGUGUGACAGUUGCUCACUUUAUUUUUUAAUCAUGUAGCUCAUAGAAAUGGAACACCUUCCAAUGAUGAAUACCUUAAUUUUGACAAUUAAACAACAGUUAAGAUAGAAUCUUAUCAUUUAUUAGUAGAAUUUAUAUACCAACAGCCAUGCAGCGUUUCAUUUAUGAGUUCAAAUAAAAUCAAGUUUCAACUGAUUCUAGUACUACUAACAAUGAGGCUCGAGAUUGUUCUUAUUCCAUUUCUGAAAUAGUGGGUAGAUCUCUGUUAACCGGCUUCCUAGGUAUGGUGGCACCUAUCGUCUUCGGUGGAUCUAUCGACGCAAAAAGAUUUGGUGGCAUUGUAAGAACGUCAAGCUCUCCCUCUAACAUCUGAACCACCACUUUCAUCGAAGGACGAUCAACGGGAUACCACUGAAUGCACCAAAGUCCAACGAUCAUGAGUUUCUUUGCUAUCCCUGUUUGUGCAUCAUCUUCAAUUCGAAUCCCGAACUCCUCUCCUUUAUCCAAACGAUCAUAUGCCCAUUCUGGGAAAUACACUUGGCUUGUAUUCUCGACCGUAACAUCUAUGUUCUUUCUCCCCCCAACCAUUUCAAGCAACAGCAUUCCAAAACUAUAAACAUCAGACUUAUAUGACACAUUUCCGAAGUUGCGAGACAGUACCUCAGGUGCAAUAUAGCCCAUGGUACCUCUAGCUGUUGUCAUUGAAAUAGCACUUUGUUCCUUGGAACACAAUUUAGCAAGGCCGAAAUCAGAGACCUUAGGAUUGAAGUUGUGAUCAAGCAAAAUAUUGUGAGGUUUGAUGUCGAAAUGGAGGAUACGUUGCUCACAACCUUGAUGCAGGUACUCGAUGCCUUUGGCUACACCGACAGCAAUAUCCUGAAGUUUUUCCCAACUAAGGGAUCGAUCCUUGCCCUUGGCUGCAAAUAUGAACUUCUCUAAUGACUCGUUUGGUAAGUAUUGUUAAAGCAAAUAGAAACUAACACAGAAAGAAAUAAAAGAUCAAGAAGAGAAUUAUUGUUUUUCAUUGCUUUCAAAAUUGAUACGUGCAUGCAUUUAUACAAGUGAAGUCUAACUGACGUAAGCAAAGUAACUGCUAUUUAACUAACACCAGCUUUUAACAAACUAGCUACUUUUUGCAUGCAGUUACAACUGCAUUACUCUUAACAUUCCCCUAGUCAGUCGAUUUCUGAUUUUUAAGUUCAUCAGGCGACAAGACCCUAAGAGCAUAUCGAAACGUAGAAAACAUCUUAGGAGUAAUUGGUUUAGUUAGAACAUCUGCAAUUUGUUGAUCAGAUGGCACAAAAUUGACUUGUAAGUGACCUGCAAGGAUUUUUUCCCUGACAAAAUGGUGAUCGAUUUCAACAUGCUUCAUUCUAGCAUGAUGCGUGGGAUUCUCAGCCACAGAGACUGCAGAGGAAUUGUCGCACCACACAACUGGCACUUUGGAUGGAAAAAUGCCUAUUUCAGCCAACAAUUGUUGAAGCCAUAAGAGCUCAGAAACGCAAUUUGCGAGACUACGAUAUUCUGCUUCAGCAGAAGAUCUUGACACAACUGGCUGCUUCUUUGAACACCAAGCAACAGGAUUUGAGCCUAAGAACACAACAUACCCGGAGGUUGACCGUCGAUCCUCAAUGGAUGAUGCCCAGUCUGCAUCAGAGUAGCAUACUAGUUUGAGUUGACUGGGUGUUAGAAACAAACCAUGAUCUAUGGUACCAGCUAGGUAUCUCAGAACCCGUUUUAGUGCUCUCCAAUGAGCUUCUCUUGGAGCAUUCAUGAACUGGCUGAGUUUAUUGACACUAAACGACAGAUCCGGCCGUGUUAUACACACAUAUUGUAGCAUCCCUACAACACUUCUGUACAAGUGAACAUCUACCAAUGGAGGACUAUCAACUGAAGCGGCUAACUUUGGAUUGCUUACCAUAGGUGUUGGUGUGGGGGUGGCCUCGACUAGCCCAGUUUUUUUAAGUAAGUCAACAAUAUACUUCUUCUGACUGAGUAGAAUUCCCUGUUUAGUGUGCUGAACAUCAAUUCCCAGAAAGAAAUUGAGCUCUCCCAUAUCCUUGAGAGCAAAUUUGCUAUGAAGGUGAAGUAUGACAUCUGCCAUUUCUUGAUCAGAACUACCUGUGAGAACAAUGUCAUCAACAUAGACCAUGAGCAGAAGUUUCUUUCCAUCAGAUUCACGAAUAAACAAGGAGGAGUCAGCCUUGGAUGCUUGAAAACCAAGCUGAUCAACAAGGUACUGUUUAAGAGUUUGGAACCAUGCACGGGGUGCUUGUCGCAGACCAUAGAGAGCUUUGUGCAACUUACAAACGAGCUUCUGACUCGAGGAAUCACAUACUUCAAAACCAGGGGGUUGCUCCAUGUACAACUCUUCAGUCAGUUCUCCAUUGAGAAAGGCAUUAUUAAUGUCAACUUGCCUUAACGACCACCCAUUUAUAACAGCAAGAGCAAGAACCGUGCAAAUAGUGGAGGCUCGAACCACCGGACUAAACGUGUCACGGAAAUCAAAUCCUGCAUGUUGAGAGAAGCCUUUUGCUACCAGCCGAGCUUUGUAUCUGUCCACUGAUCCAUCAGCCUUUUUUCUUUAUCUUAAACAGCCACUUGCAUCCGACUGCCUUCCGAUUACUUGGUAGUGAGCAGAGUGUCCAAGUGUUAUUACGAGUCAAUGCCUGUAAUUCAUCACGAACAGCUGUUUGCCAGUCUGGAGAUGUCAUUGCAGUGUGAAUAUCAGAAGGAACCUCUGCUGAAGAGCAUUGGACUGUACUCAUAAAAACCUUUGGUUUGAAAGUUCCAACUUUACUUCUGGUAACCAUGGGAUGUAUGUUGAGGGAAUUUGAAUGAGAAGCUUGUAAUGUUUGAGGUGUAGGUGACAUUGAUGAGGUGGCUGACGUAGGGGUGAUAGGUGUUAACGUAUGAGGUGAAAGUGAAUUCGGUGAAAUAGUGGGGUUAGGUUGUUAUUGUACAGCUUGAUGGUCAGACAAGGAAAGAGGUGAUGUAGGUGAGGGACUAGGUGGUGUAGGUUGAUUAUGAAAAGAAGUGGUGGUAGGUGGGGUAGCAUGAGAUAUUUGUUUGAGAGGUAGGACCAGAAGUUUUGCACUAGACUGAGACACUGGGUUAGACGAGACAAGUGAUGGAGAAAAAACUUUAUAUGGGAAAAUGUGCUCAUAAAAUGUGACAUGACGUGUUACAUAGAUUUUUCCAGUUGUGUCCUGGCAUUUGUAGCCUUUAUGCAAUGAUGAGUAACCUAGGAACACACAGGGUGAAGACCGAAACUGGAGUUUGACUUUGUUAAAUGAUCUAAGAUUUGGGAAGCACAGGCAACCAAAAAUUCGAAGGAAUGCAUAGUCUGGCUUUGUUUUAAAUAGCUUCUCAUAAGGUGAUAUAUUUCCCAAAGGCUGAGAGGGUAACCUGUUGAUCAGGAAGACUGCGCUGCAAAAAGCUUCAUUUCAAAAUUUUAAAGGCAUGGUAGCAUGAGCAAGCAUGGACAGACCUGUUUCAACCACCUGUCUGUGUUUGCGCUCAACAAGGCCAUUCUGUGCAGAAGUGUAUGGACAAGAGAGACGCUGGACAAUCCCUUGCUGAGCUAGAUAGGGCUUUAAUGCCUGAAACUCUCCACCCCUAUCCGUUUGUAAAACAUGUAGCUUUGCUCCAAGAACUCGUUCAGCUUGACGAUGGAACUGAGGAAAAACAGUAGCAACCUCUGACUUGCUCUUCAAGAAGUAAAGCCAUGUAUAACGAGAAUAGGCAUCAGUGAAGGCAACGUAGUAACAAAAACCAUUAGAGACAAUUGGAGCUGGCCCCCAAACAUCAGCAACGAUCAACUGUAAAGGAGAGCUGUAUGUUGUAGUUGACUUGGAAAAAAGGGAGUUUAUGCUCUUUACCCAUAUGACAAGCAACACACUCAACAAGCUUUUUAUUAUCAGUAAACUGAAUAUUACAAUGUGAAAGAGCUUUUGUAAGAAUAGCACGACAGGGGUGCCCUAGCCGAGAGUGCCAAACAUUUAAAGGGAGCAUUUUGCUAACUGUAAGACAUUGAGCAUGUUUUGAAGACAGUCCACUUUGAGGAAGUUUGUUGAGAUGAAGCCUGUACAAGCCAUGAUGCACAGAACCCUUCAGGAGAACCUCUCUAGUCUGUAAAUCACGGACCUGACACUGAGUGGGAAAAAACUCAAACAUCACCCUGUUAUCUUUAGCAAACUUUGACACAGAUAAAAGAUUUUUAGUAAUACUAGGCACAAGCAACAAGGAUCUCAUAUACAAUGGUCGAGAUCAAGUAAUUAGUGAUGACUGCCCUGUAGACAGAACAGGAAGAGCAGAACCAUUGCCAACAAACACUUUACCUGGUCCUUUGUGUGAGUCACUGUCACUAAGAGAAGUAAUUGAAUUUGUAAGAUGAUGUGUGGCACCUGAGUCUGGGUACCAGGAGUUAUCAGCCACUGUUUCAGGAGUAGCCACAUAAGCCUGAGAUUGUGCUACGCCAGAGGAAGGCAUGCUGACCUGUUGAAAUGGGCUACCAACACACGGGUUAGGCCAGGUAGAUGGAGAGGGAAUUGGAAAACACCAACCUGGUGGAAACCACUGCAUAUUUUGUUGAGGAGGUGAUGACCACGGUAUUGUAGUGGGACUGGAGUUGACCAUACAAACGUUUGCUUGAGGAUGAGGCCGAUAGUUACUACUUUUGUAAGUGGAGUCAAACCGAUGGUAGCAGCGGUCGACUAGAUGCCCAGGCUUUCCACAUAGCUGACAUUGAAUCUUUGAGCCAGAGAAACGCCCUCGACCACGGCCCCGAGAACUAGUUGAUGAUUUGUAAGCAGGUACGGAACUAUUGUCAACAAUAGUUGUUUCUGAAUUCUGAUGAGACACCAUGUUGGCUGAGCUAGAAACAUCAGAGAUCACAACCUGUUGCCGAUUUUCAGUAUCAAGAAGCAUGGACGUGACUCCUUGAACUGUGUAAGGAACUUGACUUGCUGCAACAAUAGAAAUUACAGAUUCAUAUUCAGUAGAAAGACCAUUCAAGAUUGCUGUAACAUGCUCGCGCUCACUGAUAACUUCACCAUAACUAGCCAAAGCAUCACAACAACUCUUAACCUUCAUCAAGAACUCUUUCAUACUCAAGUCACCUUUGCGUUGGGAGUGCAAAGAUCUUCGAUGAAACAUUAAUUUGGAGGUUGUUUGCGUACCAUAUAAAGCAAUAAUAGCAUCCCAGAUUUUAGCACUGGUGUCCAUACCAAUGAGAUGAGGAAGAACAGUUGGAUUAAUCGAAGAUAGCAACCACGAUGCAAGCGCACUGUCUUGCUGUUCAUACCGCUCAAAUUCUGGAUUUUCCCGAAGACCACCAUUGUCACCUGCAAUAAACUGGACAGGAGUUUGCUGUGAGUCCAAGAACCCUUGAAGCUUAUGCGCUUUUAGUGCCAAGAGAACCUGUUGCCUCCACAGCAAAUAGGUAUUAUCAUCAAGAAGAAUACUAAUCUUCUUUGUAGAAAAUAACCUAUUGUCGACUACACCAUCAGCCGCAGCACAAUCCAUGACAACAAAAACAAAAGAGUAGCACAGCGGAUAGACGAGAAAGCUGACCCAGGAGAAGCCUUAAUCUGAUACCAUGUUAAAGCAAAUAGAAACUAACACAGAAAGAAAUAAAAGAUCAAGAAGAGAAUUAUUGUUUUUCAUUGCUUUCAAAACUGAUACGUGCAUGCAUUUAUACAAGUGAAGUCUAACUGACGUAAGCAAAGUAACUGCUAUUUAACUAACACCAGCUUUUAACAAACUAGCUACUUUUUGCAUGCAGUUACAACUGCAUUACUCUUAACAAGUAUUCAUAAACGAGAGCUCGGUCAUAUCCAUCGGCACAAAACCCAACAAGGCGAGUCACAUUCACAUGGUGGAUUCUGCCCAUCGAACCCACCUCGUUGACAAACUCUUCACCAUUUCCCUUGAAAUUAUUGAGUACCUUGACAGCAACUAAAACAUCACUGGAAAGCCUGCCUUUGAAGACAGUUCCAUAGCCUCCUUGUCCCAGUUUGUCCUUGAAAUGAUUAGUUAUCCUUUUAAUAUCAGCAUAGGAGUAUCUUGAGGGUUUAAGCUCUUUAUAAUCUUCCAAAAACUUUUCAAUCUUGACUUGACUUUCUUUCUCCUUUUUGUCUAACCGAUAUCUCCACCCAACUGCAAUGGCAAUGGUUGCAGCAAUUGAAGAACCCAACACAAUACCUGCAAAUCAGCAUACAUCCCUGUGUUAUAUCCUGUCUAAAAUUAUUGAAGCUAAAAGGGAAAUUCCAUUUACCUGCAACCAUUAGCCUUUCUCCCAAACCUGCCAAACAUUUAAAAUUAUUCAGCUUUGAUACAUGGGAAAUCUAAGAAAAGGGCUCACUGUAAGUUUACAACAUUAAGCUUCACUUUGAUGCAGGCUAAUGAUUUUUUUUUAUAGUUAUAAUAGUUAAAACAUACCUAUAUGGUGUUUGGGGAUAUCAAAACACUCGGUUUGUUCCUUGGUGCUAUUAUUGUUGUUCAAUCUACAUCCCCUUCCUUGAGCUUCGCAAUCACCACAGUCUGGUUUAUACCAACGUAAUUGAAAACGGUUACCAUAAGGAGAAAUGGGCGUUGAGAAGUUGCGAAAGUAGCUGCAAUUCAACAGGUUCUCUGGAUAAAUAGGGUCAUAAGAAGCAAAAGCUAUAAUUUGGGAGCCAGGGGUGCUUAAGCAAUCGACUCUGUUUCCUUCAUACAAAGCCUUAUCUUGGCUUGAACAUUCAAACAAGGCAUAGUUGGAUUCAGUUGGCUGGGAUAUAUAAACUUUUAGGCGGCUGAAACCUUGUUGUUCCACCGCGAAUGGAAAGGCAGAAAAAUUGAGAUCUAAAAGCUGCCGCCAGAGGCAACCGCCGGGAAAGUCCAAGUUAAUCCGCUGAGCUUCAUAAUCUAUGUGCUUCACCAACAGCUCCAGCGAACGUGGUAUCUUCAGCAGGGUCUGUUUGUUUUCUGAGCAGGAAAGCUGAAACCCAGGAUGAGGAUAGCCGCAGUGGGGUGACUGCUGGCCUUCUAAACGGAAGGGGAAAUGGACAGGUGGAUCCUGGUGGUUGCACCGCCGCGCCUUGCAGUCGUCUUGGAUUGGCACUGCUUCUGCAACAUCCACAGCUAAGAUAAAGCAGAAUAACGAGUAAAUUAACAUUGUUCUUACUAACUUGUGAGCCCCUGAAGUGAAACGGGCUUUAAAUAAUUUCAUUGACAUAGGUGGUUCAGCCCUUGAGAGUUCCAAUUAUGCACGCAACGCAGCUGCUGCUUUACCAUAUAGCUUUGUCUCGUUUAACAGGGUCUUCAACUCUCCGUCCUCUCUUUGUUCUCUUUUCUGAGUAAAUGUUAGACAUGUUUGAUUGUUAGCAACCCUUUCUAACUUUGUUACUAAUUUUCUUUUAUUCCCGUUAGUUGUAGUAAAAUUUGAGGGAAAAACACUGAACAUGAGAAUGAAUACCGAUUUGCUGUUGUGAUCAUAGUGGGGUCAGCUUGACUGACUCUUGUUUUUCCACCUUCGUUGAAGUUUCCUCUUCCCUUUAUAGUUUUUACUACAUUUUGUUUGGUAUGACUAAGUAGUUGACUGACUUUUAUGGGUUCUUUUUAAUGUCUAUCGUUUUUUUUCUAAUGUAGGUGAUUUUUUUCUCACUUUUUUUUUCUAAUUUAUCUUUUAUUUUUGGAUUUUAAUUCGAAAUCGCAAAACUUGAACCAUCAUAUGUUUUUAAAUUUUAAAUCACUUAUUUUAGAUAGAACAAAUUUUUUAAAAGUGGAUACAAGACAAAAUGACAUAAUUUUUUUAAUAUGAGUAUGGAACAAUUAUAGUCAUUGCUUGUUCUACUCGUCCUAUCUCGAAAUAAUCUUUUACCUUUUUUGUAUAUAAUUAUUAAAAUGAUAAAAAUGUAAUAAUAUAUUAUAGGAAAAAAAUCAUAUGUUUUAUAUUUAUAUUUUUAAAAAAUUAUGUUUAAAUACUUACUCGUCCUAUCUCGAAAUUUCUUGUAGUUAUACUGUCUUUGAGAUGUUUUUAUUCGCGAUUUUGAACUAAUUUUCUAAAUACCUAGGGGAGAUGAACCUUAUGAUGAAUUUUGUCUUUUGAUUUCUGUUUUAUGCAAUGAAUAAUUGAAUCUUAUUCUCAAUUAUGUGUGCUUAAUCCUUGAUUUAAGAUUUUCGAAUUAUUAAUUCAUGUUUGAUGUGCUUAAUUAAGAGUAGAUCUAGCAUAAUUGAGUGGAGUUGCAUGUAAUCCUAGAAAUAGGACGACAUAAAUCUAACGAAUUAGGUAUUCAUAAACGAGAACUCAAUCAUAUCCAUCAGCACAAAACCCAACCAGGCGAGUCACAUUCACAUGGUGGAUUCUACCUAUCGAACCCACCUCAUUGAUGAACUCUUAAUAUUUAACUAAAGUUUGCUUUCUACUUUUUUUUUAUUUCCAUUUUUAAGAAAAUGUUAUUUUAUUAAUUCAAUUAUCUAAAUUAAUAUUAUUUUAUUUAAAUUAUAUUAAUCCUCAUUUAAUUAUUACAAGUAUAUUAUUUUAAAAUUAUAAAAAAUAUUAUUUAAUAAAUUAAACAAAUAAACAUUUAAAAUCACAUACAUUACAUUAAAAACUAAUAUAUCUAAAUAUAUAUUUUACCACUUAUUUUAAUCUUGUUAUUUUUAAUUUCAUCAAAAUUAUAUAUCACUCGAGCCACUGCGACUGCUGACUGGUGAUUAUUGAAAGGUUCUGAAUUAAUACAUCCAAGACUUUUAUGAGCAUCGCCAUUGACUGACCGACGACUUGAAUUAAAGAAUUUUCCACAUUAGCUUUGUUAGUGGACUGAUUUUUCAAAGAAGGACUUGCUCUCAAUUGCAGCCAUAAAAUAAAUGAAUGAUUGGCAUUUUACAUUAAAGAACAUCCCAUUGUUUAUUUCUUCAUCGGAGCUCCACCGGAACUUGAUGAUGUUAAGACCCAGACUUGUCUUGUUUAGCAUCUUUGCCCUUACUUUAUCCCCAGAUGUUUCCGAUGGUAGAGCAGGCAAAAGCAACCACUGCGGCCCAUCUUUGUGUGGACACGUUAAUAUCAGUCACCCUUUCCGACUAAAAGGUCAGCCUCGUCGAUGUGGUGACCGUAGGUUUGAAUUAGAGUGCAAGAGAAACCGCACCAGUUUUCCCAUGAAAUACGGAAACUUUUAUGUCCUAAACAUCUCUUAUGUUGACCGAACGCUUCGACUUGUGGAUGUGAGUCUGGUCGAUGAAAACUGCUCAAUUCCUCGCAGUUCCAUUGUCGAUUCUUCAGACAGCUAUCUAGAACACAUAAUAGCGAAUGGAGCAGACACCAUGUAUCUGGUAAAUUGCACGACAAGUAUGAAGUCUUCUUCAGUUUAUGUCGAUGCUUCUCGUUGCCCAACCAAUAGCUCUUCUUCUCCUUGGACCUACUUCUACUUUCCGGUCUCGUUUUCAAAUAUAUCCGAUUUCGAUCAUUCGUGCAGAUUUAUAGCCCAGUUUCCUGUCAUGCUUUCCAAUAUUAGUGGCUUAUCCCCUUCUUACAUUUACAAAAACCUGUUGGAAGGCGUCGAGGUGUCCUGGUAUCGUUUUUGGCCUUCAAACCCGAUUCUCAAAGUGUAAGAGACUUCGAUCUUUAGAUUCUUUCAAUCUAUAACUUUUCAAGGCCUUAUUUAUUGAUUGGUUGCUUUUUUUUUUCCUGGGGGGGGGGGUAUUCUAGCUUGCUACAGUUGCUACUUCCAAUUGCAGCAUACAUAGUAACCAUUGCGAACUUUCUUCAGCAGGGAAGCAUCAACUAUUAUACUCCUUAUCAUAAAGGUUAAUGUUUCAGAUUUCAUAAGUAUCUGUAUUUAUUGGAUUUGCCCUUGAAUUGCAUUCAAGUUAGUAAUACUAUUGUUGAAUUGGUGUUUUAAACAGCAUCCUUCUUAGUUUGUCUUGCAGUAUCAGGUAAAUCUCUUUCCCCGCCCCACUUUUUUAUGUUAUCUUUAUAAAAUAAUCAUGAAUGCUGAUUUAUCCUUGUGUAUGCCCCUUGAUGGGCAAGCAGCUGGCAUAUUGUUAGCGAGAACUUUGUUGGGGAUAUUCUGCCUCAUUACACUUGUUAUACACAAACUAAGGAGGAGGCAUUUAUCGAUGGAUGAUAAUAUUGAGAACUUUCUUAAAAGUCAAAAUAAUUUAAUACCAAUUCGAUAUUCGUAUUCUGAAAUAAAAAGAAUUACGGAAGGUUUUAAAGUUAAAUUAGGUCAAGGAGGUUAUGGUUCUGUGUUUAAAGGAAAGCUUCGCAGUGGUCGGCUAGUGGCAAUAAAAAUGUUGGAUAAAUUCAAAGCAAAUGGAGAAGAUUUCAUCAAUGAAGUUGCUACUAUUGGAAGGAUUCAUCAUAUUAAUGUAGUGCAACUUAUUGGAUUUUGUGUAGAGAGAUCAAAACAAGCUCUUGUAUAUGAUUUUAUGGUGAAUGGGUCUUUGGAUAAAAUUAUAUUUUCAAAGGAGAAUUGCACUUUAAGUUGGCAAAAAUUAUUUGAGGUUGCACUAGGUGUGGCUCGAGGGAUUGAAUACUUGCACAGGGGUUGUCAAAUGCAAAUUUUGCAUUUUGAUAUCAAGCCGCACAACAUUCUUUUGGACGAAAACUUUAUCCCUAAAGUUUCUGAUUUUGGUCUUGCAAAAUUAUAUUCAGUGGAUGAUAGUAUUAUUUCUCUCACAGCGGCUCGUGGUACAUUAGGAUACAUUGCUCCUGAAUUAUUUUACAGAAAUAUUGGAGGCAUCUCAUAUAAAGCCGAUAUUUAUAGUUUUGGAAUGUUAUUAAUGGAAAUGGUGGGAAGAAGAAAGAAUUUGAAUGCAUUUGAUGAUCAUUCUAGUCAAAUUUAUUUUCCGUCAUGGAUUUAUGAUCGAUUUGAACAAAGAGAGAACAUAGAAUUAGGGGAUGAAACAGAAGUUGAUGACAAAAUAGCAAGGAAGAUGAUAAUGGUUGCAUUUUGGUGCAUACAAAUGAAUCCCACUAAUCGUCCUUCAAUGAGCAAAGUUUUGGAAAUGCUCGAAAAUGAACUUGAUCACCUUGAAUUACCGUCCAGACCUUCACUAUUUUCUCUCGAAAAGUCAAUUGAAGAUCAUGUUAGUAAGAAUGUAUCGGAGGAACCAUCAACGUCAAAAAGUUGUGUGGACCUCUAAGUAUAAUGUUUGAUUUUAUUCGGGCCUUUUAUACAUAUAGUUCUGCAACUGUAAGCUUUUAAUUUGUAGCAUUUCAUGUUCAGUUGUAUAAUAUCCAGCAUCAUGUAAUACAACUAUUAAUGGAUGUGUGUUUUAGACUUUAGCUCCUUAGCUUCAUGUUUCAAUUAUUAAAAAUGUCUCCCAGUCACCAUAUAAUGAGUUAAUAUCAAAUUCGUUUACAAUUAUUUAGUAUAUAAGUGACUCUUAACAUUGGGUGAUCUCAUGAGAAAGUUUUUACUGAUCUCUUAUUGUAAUAUGUAAUCAUGAUAAUUAUGAGUGUGGUGUGGCGGUUGCUCACUUCAUUUUUAAAUCAUUUAGUCAAGAAUUUGAGUUCCGCUCAAAGAAAUGGAACACUUACCAACUAUGAAUACCUUAAUUUUGACAAUUAAACAACAUUUAAGAUAGAAUCUUAUCAUUUAUUAGUAGAAUUUAUAUACCAACAGCCAUGCAGCAUUUCAUUUAUGAGUUCAUAUAAAAUCUUAGCAUUGGUGUAAUAUGAGUGUGCUAAUAGACGAUUUCAAGUUUCAACUGAUUCUAGUACUACUAAUAAUGAGGCUCGAGCUUGUUCUUAUUCCAUUUCUGAAAUAGUGGCUAGAUCUCUGUUAACCGGCUUCCUAGGUAUGGUGGCACCCAUCGUCUUCGUUGGAUCCGUCGACGCAAAAGGAUUUGGUGGCAUUGUAAGAACGUCAAGCUCUCCCUCUAACAUCUGAACCACCACUUUCAUCGAAGGACGAUCAACGGGAUACCACUGAAUGCACCAAAGUCCAACAAUCAUGAGUUUCUUUGCUAUCCCUGUUUGUGCAUCAUCUUCAAUUCGAAUCCCGAACUCCCCUCCUUUAUCCAAACGAUCAUAUGCCCAUUCUGGGAAAUACACUUGGCUUGUGUUCUCGACCGUAACAUCUAUGUUCUUUCUCCCCCCAACCAUUUCAAGCAACAGCAUUCCAAAACUAUAAACAUCAGAUUUAUAUGACACAUUUCCAAAGUUGCGAGACAGUACCUCUGGUGCAAUAUAGCCCAUGGUACCUCUAGCUGUUGUCAUUGAAAUAGCACUUUGUUCCUUGGAACACAAUUUAGCAAGGCCGAAAUCAGAGAUCUUAGGAUUGAAGUUGUGAUCAAGCAAAAUAUUGUGAGGUUUGAUGUCAAAAUGGAGGAUACGUUGCUCGCAACCUUGAUGCAGGUACUCAAUGCCUUUGGCUACACCGACAGCAAUAUCCUGAAGUUUUUCCCAACUCAGGGAUCGAUCCUUGCCCUUGGCUGAAAAUAUGAACUUCUCUAAUGACUCGUUUGGUAGGUAUUCAUAAACGAGAGCUCUGUCAUAUCCAUCGGCACAAAACCCAACCAGGCGAGUCACAUUCACAUGGUGGAUUCUGCCCAUCGAACCCACCUCGUUGAUGAACUCUUCACCAUUUCCCUUGAAAUUAUUGAGCACCUUGACAGCAACUAAAACAUCACUGGAAAGUCUGCCUUUGAAGACAGUUCCAUAGCCUCCUUGUCCCAGUUUGUCCUUGAAAUGAUUAGUUAUCCUUUUAAUAUCAGCAUAGGAGUAUCUUGAGGGUUUAAGCUCUUUAUAAUCUUCCAAAAACUUUUCAAUCUUGACUUGGCUUUCUUUCUCCUUUUUGUCUAACCGAUAUCUCCACCCAACUGCAAUGGCAAUGGUUGCAGCAAUUGAAGAACCCAACACAAUACCUGCAAAUCAGCAUACAUCCCUCUGUUAUAUCCCGUCUUAAAUUAUUGAAGCUAAAAGGGAAAUUUCAUUUACCUGCAAUCAUUAGCCUUUCUCCCAAACCUGCCAAGCAUUUAAAAUUAUUCAGCUUUGAUACAUGGGAAAUCUAAGAAAAGGGCUCACUGUAAGUUUACAACAUUAAGCUUCACGUUGAUGCAGGCUAAUGAAUUUUUUAACGUACGUUGUACAAUUAUAAUAGUUAAAACAUACCUAUAUGGUGCUUGGGGAUAUAAAAACACUCGGUUUGUUCCUUGGUGCUAUUAUUGUUGGUCAAUCUACAUCCCCUUCCUUGAGCUUCGCAAUCACCACAGUCUGGUUUAUACCAACGUAACUGAAAACGGAUACCAUAAGGAGAAAUGGGUGUUGAGAAGUUGCGAAAGUAGCUGCAAUUCAACAGGUUGAGUCCAUAAUAAUUUUCAUCAGAAGCAAAAGCUAUAAUUUAGGAGCCAGGGGUGCUUAAGCAAGCGACUCUAUAUCUUUUAUACAAAGCCUUCUCUUGGCUUAAACAUUCGAACAAGGUAUAGUUGGAUUCAGCUGGUUGGGAUCUAUAAUCUUUUAGGCCGCUGAAACCUGGUUGUUCCUCCGCGAAUGGAAAGGCAGAUAAAUUGAGAUCUAAAAGCUGCUGCCAGAGGCAACGGCCGGGAACGUAGAAGUCAAUCCGUUGAGCUUCAUAAUCUAUGUGCUUCACCAAUAGCUUCAGCGAACGUGGUAUCUUCAGCAGGGUCUGUUUGUUUUCUGAGCAGGAAAGCUGAAACCCAGGAUGAUGAUAGCCGCAGUGGGGAGACUGCUUGCCUUCUAAACGGAAGGGGAAACGGACAGGUGGAUCCUGGUGGUUGCACCGCCGCACCUUGCAGUCGUCUUGGAUUGGCACUGCUUCUGCAACAUUCACAGCUAAGAUAAAGCAGAAUAACGAGUAAAUUAACAUUGUUCUUACUAACUUGUGAGCCCCUGAAGUGAAACGGGCUUUAAAUAGUUUCAUUGACAUAGGUGGUUCAGCCCUUGAGAGUUCCAAUUAUGCACGCAACGCAGCUGCUGCUUUACUACAUAGCUUUGUCUCGUUUAACAGGGUCUUCAACUCUUCGUCCUCUCUUUGUCCUCUUUUAUGAGUAAAUGUUGGACAUGUUUGAUUGUUAGCAACCCUUUCUAACCUUGUUACUAAUUUUCUUUUAUUCCCGUUAGUUGUAGUAAAAUUUGAGGAAAAAACACUGAACAUGAGAAUGAAUACCGAUUUGCUGUUGUGAUCAUAGUGGGGUCAGCUUGACUGACUUUUGUUUUUCCACCUUCGUUUCACUACAUUUUGUUUGGUAUGACUAAGAAGUUGACUGACUUUUAUGGGUUCUUUUUAAUGUCUAUCGUUUCUUUUCUAAUGUAGGUGGUUUUUUUCUCACUUUCCUUUUUCUAAUUUAUCUUUUAUUUUUGGAUUUUAAUUAAAAAUGGCAAAACUCGAAUCAUAUGUUUUUAAAUUACUUAUUUUAGAUACAACAAAUUUUUUAAAAGUGGAUACAGGACAAAAUGAGAUGAUUUUUUUCACAUGAGUAUGAAACAAUUAUAGUCCCUAUCUCGAAAUAAUCUUUUACCUUUCUUUGUAUAUAAUUAUUAAAAUGAUAAAAAUGUAAUAAUAUAUUAUAGGAAAAAAUUCAUAUGUUUUAUAUUUAUAUUUUUAAAAAAUUAUGUUUAAAUGCUUACUUGUCUUAAAAAAAAGUAAAAUUAUUAAAAUAACUAGAAAUAAAAAUUAAAUUAAAGCAGAGCGAAACAAGGUGAGAUGGGAUGGGGAUGAAUGCUUUUAAUAUAUAUGCUGUGAUAGCGAUUUUUCAGAUUAUACAUUCCAAGUGGGGCGAGGCGGGUGGUGGAGUAAAGCAUGUCAACUGUGGAGCGAUGAUGGAUUUGACAACAUUUAACCUGUCUUGCUCCAUUGCAUGAUGCUUAAUAGGGUCUUCUUUUUUUAUUAAAUCAUCACAAUCAAUUUUGUAUUGAUACUGUUCAGAUCAACCAAAUCGAUUCAUUUAAGUAAUAAACCGAAACAAUAAAAUCUGCGGAUUAAAGCCUGUAAUCAAUGUGCACAGUAUCGCCCAAUGAGGUCAAUUGAUCAAAUGGGGCUCUUUUAACCCACUUGAAUUGGCAUGAUUAAUGGAACACAUGGAGAAGCCCAUCCACUUGAAGCAUUGGUGGCUUAGUGAAAUACUUUAGUAAAACUAGAGUUACCAUGGUGAAUAUUUGUAAUCCUAAGGGAUUAGAUUGUAUAGAGCUUAAAUCCCUUCGAACUCUCAUUUGUAGAUAGGUUUUAAUCUUGAUUGUUGAUGUAAUUUAAAUUGAGUUGUUGCAUCAGAGAGAUCUCAACUAUAAAUAAAGGUUUCCCCCUUCAUUUGCAAUCACUCAAUGUUUUUUCACUCAAAGUUACUAAAUAUAAUUGAGAGCAUUUACUCAAACAUACAUUACUUUCUUGUGGUUUCUCUAGUUCUUUCAUUGCUUCUUCACUUUUGUGUUUGCUUCCGCUAAGUUUUGGUGCCUUAGAGAAUUUCCUUGUGAUUUCUUACUUUUUGAGAUUUAGGUGGACUUAGGCGAAUUUAAAGCUAAGUUCUUGCCCAAUGUUGCACAGUUUGCCAGACUAAAGUUCUAGCCUUGUGACAGUUGGUAUCAAGAGCUAGUGAUUGGUAAGGCGUUAAUUGAGAUGGAGAAAGAAGUAAAUAAUCAAGAGCUCGUGACCGUUGGCAUCACGAACUAGUGUUUGGGUAGGAAAGCUAGUAGAUCAAGGGAUAUAUUGUUAGGUUUGGAAGGUUGAGUGACCAACUUCAAGGAAUUCAUGGGUGGCAUGAAGGAAACACUCAAAGUAGUUAAGGGACACACCACAGAGCUGGACUUAGUGAAAGAGUAACUCAAGGGAUAGGUGGCAGAGGCUCUCAGUACUAGUGUGGACGCACUGCAAGGGGUUCUCAAUACCUCUGUGGGUAAGUUGACAAAGAGAGGUGAUACUCUUAAGGACGUGGUGACAAAUUUGAAGGAACAAAUUGAAUAUUUCAAGAAGGAGCUUGUUAUCUGUAAAAUUGCUUUAGGUAAUGACGUGUUGGCUACGAUACCCAAGCCUAAGGUCGAUACCUUCAAGCCGAAAGAAUUUAAGGGGAUGAGAUCCGAAAUAGAUGUGAAUAACUUUUUAUAAGGAAUGGAAUAAAACCUUCGUGCUAGAGGCAUCAAAGAUGCUGCUACUAAGGUAAAUAUUGCAUCUAUUGUAACAGCUCGAUUUAUGGGUCUAGUCAGAGCAGUGGUUUCGGGACCACAAAUCCGAAGUUAAAAUUCUUAUUUUAUUAUUUUAAUAUCUACAGUAUGAUAUUAUUAUUGUGUAAAAAUUUCGUGAAGAAAUUUUAUCAAUUGGGUGCUUAAUUUGAUAAAAAGGACUAAAUCGCGUAAAGUGCGAAAGUUGCAUUCUAUAUGUAAAGGUGUCUAAUAGCUAUAGAAUUUUAAAUUGAAGGUCCUUAUGUGAUAAAUAACCCAUUAUUGAGAUAUUGGAUGUUAUUAGAGUGGCAUUUGGUGUAGUUAUUAGGGUUAUUAAAGGUUAAAUGAGUAAAACGACAUUAUAUGUUAAAUUAAAUAAAACAAAUUGUGUCAUCUUCUUUCACUAUCCAUCUUCACCAAAAUUUCAACCUAAAAUCAGCCAUGGGAGAGCUUGUUAUUCUGCCAAACUUUGAAGACAAAUUGGUGAGUGGUUUUUGCUUGGUUUUUAAUAAUUUCUAUAUUUUUGAUAUCGUUGCUUCGUAAUCUAGCUAACCCGUACCUCCGUUUCUAAAACUGUUAAAGAUUUUUUGAAUUUCCAUUGUUGAAUACUUGAGCUCUUUGAUAUUUUUUGAUGAAAUAUGAAUAUUUUAUGUUAGAUUUUCAUCUUUUAUAAAGUGAUUUUUGAUAAAAAUGUCAAUUAGGGAUUAAAUUGUGAAAUGUGGAAAUUUAGUGGUUAAAAUGUGAAAUAAAUUGAAAAUAUGGGCUGCUAGUGAUAUAUGGAAAAUUCAGCUAGCUUGGAUUUGUGUUUAAUUUCAUAAAAUUGUGAUUUUAUGUUAUAAGGACUAAAUUAUAAAAAUGUGAAAUUAUAGGGGUAAAAGUGUAAAUAUUCUUUAAGGUAAAUUUUGGAUUAAAUUUAAUUGAGAGAUAAUUAAAUAAGCUUAUUUUGAUUAUAUUUAGAUCGAGAAAAGUGAAAUACGGAUCUAGAUUGGGGAAAAGAUAAAGUAUCGGACCAGUCAAUUCGUUCCGUCGUUUUAGCAAUCGAGGUAAGUUCGUGUAAUCAAACUUCAGUGUAUAUUUAGGUAAUUGAUGAAUGAUAGUAUGAAUUUAUUCAUAUAAUCAAUUUAAUUAUGGAGCUUAAAUUAAACGUUCGAUAUAAGUAAAAAUGUAGGAUCAAACACAAUCGUUUCGCAACGAAAGACGAAUUGGCAGAAAAAACCAUGGUUGGACCAUGGCAUUACAUGAUUUCGUAUAAGACCAUAGCUGGGCUAUGACAUCGAUAUAUGAGACUUUGUGUAAGACCAUAUCUAGGAUAUGGCAUCGAUAUAUGUGAUUACGUGUAAGACCAUAUCUGGAACAUUGGCAUCGAUAUAUGAUUCGUGUAAGACCAUAGCUGGGCUAUUGGCACCGAUAUGUGAUAACAUGUAAGACCAUAUGUGGGAUAUGGAAUUGUAUGUGAUAUACGAGACUUUCGAGUAUCCUUAACGAUUAUGAAUGGUUCGUCACGCAAAGUUAAGACAAGAAUGAAAGUUCAAUUGAAUUAAGCAAAACAGGUACGUUCAGAACCUAUGUGAGAGUUAAAUGAAGGUAAUUUAAUGAGAAUUAUUAGUGUAUAAUUAUAUUUUAUGCCAAAAUGUGUUUAUUUGGCUAUAGUGAGGUAUGAAUUGAAUGAUAUGUGUGAUAUGAGCAAUGAUUGUGUUAAUUAUAUGAAUAUGGCACAUUGAGUGAGAAUUACAAUUAUUUAACGAUAAUUUACAUGAUUCUUUCGGCUAAAGAAAUGUGAUGAAUAAUGGAUCAAAUAAAGUUAUACAUUGUUGCUUAUGUAUUUGUAAAUGAGAAUGAAGUGAUAAGAAGUUUAAGAGGCAUACGAGCUUUGAAAGGAAUAAACUCGUGGAAAUCUUGUUUGAUCAUAUGCAUGAAUAUGAGGUAGAAUUGUGAAAUCAAAUGAGUUAUAUUAUGACUUGAUGCAAUUGCUUGUAAUGUGGUUAUUUAGUAAUAAGAGUUAUGAUAUUACAAGCUUACUAAGCUUUAUAGCUUACCUGGUGUUAUUUUUUUAUGUUUUACAGUGUUUGGGACGUUCGCUCGGGUUGGAAGUCGACAGAGAUUGCAUCACACUAUCCAGCUAAUAAUUUCGGUAUUUAUAUACUUUGUGACUUGGUUAUAUGGCAUGUAUAUGCUAUGGUUAUUUUGGUUUACUAUGGAAAGUGUAUUUGGCCAUAUGGUUUGGCUUGUUUUAAGUAUGUAUUUGAUUAUUUUGUAUAGGCUAGUUUUUAAUAUGUUUGGUUUUGAUGAUAUGUAUAUAUUCAGCCAUGCAAAAAUGGCAUGAUUAUAAUGCUAAUGGUUGUGUAAAUUUGAUCAUGGUAUAAGCACAUUUCUGUAAGUAUGUCCCUUGACAUGUAUGAAUGGUGUUCUGGUUAUAUGUCUUGGUUGAGUAAUGAUAUGAAUGACUUAUAAAUAGCUCAUUUAGUAAGCUUGAUACAUGAUUUAAUUUGUAUUUGUGAUUGGUCUUGUGAUUUGGGUUGGAAUGGUUAAGUAGGCAUAUGUGGUAUGCUUGUUUGAGUGAGUUUUUAGGUACAGCUCAUGAUGGAAAUGGUAUGAAUUUUUGGAGGCUAAUUUGAUGAUCAAAUAUAGGAUUAAAUGAUUUAGUUGUGUAUAUGAAAUUUUGGCAUGGUACAUAGUAUAUGAAAUUGGCAUGUUUAAAUUGUAACAGCCCGAUUUUGGGUCUAGUUGGAACAGUGUUUUCGGGACCACAAAUUCGACGAGGAAAAAUGUAAUGGCCUGAAUUUUUAGGGGUGUCGGAACGGUGAUUCGAGAUCACUAAAUCCAAAAAAAUGAGUAGAAAAUAUUAUUAAUUUAGUGAGUAUAAGUAAAUGUGAAGUUAAGAAAAUUUUUGAAAUAGUGAAUAGUGCACUAGAAAUAAAUAUUAAAAUAAUUAGAAUAAAAAAACGAGGUAUCGAGACCUCAGAGAUUUUAAACCGAGCCAUAAAUAUUUUUAUAAAUAUUUAUGGAGUGUUAAAAAGUUAGUAUUAAAUUUUCGUUAAGAAAUUUUAAAGUUUCGAUAAUUAAUUGAACAAAAAUGACUAAAUUGUAACAAAUGCAAAAUUAUAGGAAAUGAUUAAAUAGCUUAAAUGAUAAAAGGAAGAGGGCUUAAAAAGCAAAUAGACCCAAUGUCUGGACGUCAAAGGCAUGAAAUCAACAAGAAAGUAAGGAGAAUUAAGGGCAAAAUUGGAAUACUACAAAAUUACUUAAUAAAGCUAGGAUCAAAGUGGAAUUAUCUAGAUUUCUCUUUAUUUUUCUGCAUUCUCAUCAGCUAAAACACCAUAGAAGGGUUUCCUUAAGUUGGUUUUUCAUAUUUUUACUGCAAGUAAGUUCAAUUCUUGAUUAUUUCUUGAAAUUUUUGUGUUUUUGUGACUUUUACAACUAGGCCCACUUGUUGAAUUCAUUAGUUUUUGAUUCUAUGAAAGAAGUUGAAAGUUGCUAUGAAUAUGUGCUGGAAGUAUAUGAUGAUUUAGCAUGGAAUUAGAGCUUUAAAUUGUUUCUAUGCUGAUUUUAUUGAAAGAAUUGAAUAAAAAGUGAAUAUUUGGGACCUAAUAGUAAAAGAGUUUGAAGUUAGGGUUUUAUGAGGAAAUUCUGAAUUUCAAUAGUUAUGAAUAACUUAUAAUGUCUAAGUAAAGUACUAAUUGAGAAAAAUUAGCUUAAUUGAGGGGUUAAUUAAACAAUGACUGAAUUGUAUGAAUUGUAAAUUUUGAAAUAUAAUAAAUUUUGUGAGACAAGGUCAGAAUGAUUUCGGGUUCCCCUGUUCUGACUUUGGAAAAUCAUCAAAAAUUUAAGAAAAAUAAUUAGGGGCUUAAAUUUAUAUAUUUAAAAUCCUGAAUAAGUCUAUUUUCAAGAGAAACAAACGGAAACAUCAUCCGAAUCCCGUAAGAGGAAAUAAUUAUUUUUUAGUGAAGAAGGGUCGGAACUGUCUAAUAGUGAAACAGGGGAGAAUUUAAAGAAUAAACUGUACUUAUUGGCUAAGCCAAAAAUUCUAAAACUUUUAUGGUAAAAAUAUAUAUGAGUCUAGUUUCUGGGAAAAUUAACGGAUCUUAAUUUGGAGUUUCGUAGCUCAAGAUAUAAAUAAUUUAGUGACUCUGACUCGGAUAGACAGCUUUGAAUUUACUUAUAAGUAAAUAGUGAAAAUGUAGUUAAUGUUAUUUAAGUGUGUUAUAUACAUUAAAGAUGUGAAAUAGAGAGGAGGAGGAGGAAAAUUAGAAAAUAUAUGAAUGACUUGUGUAUAAAUCGGUCAUAUAUUCGAUCAUAAUCGAUAAAUGUUGAAUUAGAAAUGAUGUAAUGUUUUAUUUCAAAUAGUUACUAUGAGAUUGAUGAUGAUCUGACUUUAGCUAAAUUAAAAGCUAAAGCGAUAUUUUCAUUGCAAAAUUAAUAAUUUUAUAAAUGUGUUAAUGAAUAGCAUAAUCGAUAAAUUUGAGUUAAAUGGUAAAUACGUAUUAGUAUUGAACUUAAUGAUAUUGAAUUGUAUGAGAAGUAAAUGGAAAUUUCUAUUGCUAGUGAUAUGAUUUUAAUUAAAAGAAUUAUUGUGAUAUUAAAAUGUAUAUUGGAUUGAGAAAUUGAUUUGAAUUGUGAACAUGAGAAAUUAUGAAUUGAAUGAAAUGGAAAUGAAGCAUUAAAUUGUUAAGACUUGUGAAUUGCAUGAAUAUAAAUCGAGUCUCGUAGGCCCUAUUUAUUAUGAAUAUAAUAUUUAGAGGAUAUAUUGUGAAGAAUUAUAAAAGCAUGUUAAAAAUUUAAAAGUUUUAAUUUAGAUGAAAUUUUAUAAUAUGGUUAAAUACGUUUACAAGUGUAUGUGUUCUAGUAAUGCAUCACACCCUAUUCCGGCGACGGAUACGGGUAAGGGGUGUUGCAUAAAUUCAGUUAUUUUACUUAGAAAAUUACUAAAGUUAGUCGAGUAAGUAGUGUAUGGAUUGGUUAUACUUACAAUUGAGAUUCGAUCAUUUGGGUAAUGCUUGUAGGCAUUUGUAUAAUUUUGCCCAUUUUGCAGCAUAGUAUAGUUCAACUUAAGCUAGUAUGUGCAUGUACAAAGCUCAUAACUAAUAUAUUUGAUAUUAGUUAAUAUUAUGAAUUGAUAUGGCUAGUUGUGGCUUAAAUAUGCACACGUGGGAAAGCUUAUAGAAAGGAUGUAUUGUUGUAAGCUAAGUAUAUGAAAGUGACAUAUGAUUGAUACUUAUUUAGGUAUCUAAAUGCCUUAUUAUAUAGUCAUAAGGUUCGACUAAUAGAAUUAUAAUGUAUAUGUAUUAUGAUAUGAUGUUUUAUAAUAGUAAAAUAUGUUUGGUUAGUUGGUUAAGUGGUACACAUGUAUGAUUGUUAUAGAUUGAUGACCAUAUGGUUUGAAUUUGGUAAUUAUGGAACUAGUUCAAUUUGGUUUUUCGUAAGUUACCUUGAUGAAAAAUUUGAUUUGGUAAUCGGAAUGAAAUUGGUUGAAUUUUGAUAUAUGCUUUAUUUGUGAUAUAUGACUAUUAAAGUAUGAUUGAUUUGGAUUGGCUUUAUGAUUCAUAUGUUCGAAUUUAGUAUAAAUGAUUUGUGGACAUUCAAGUUUAAUAAUGUUAUAAUUGUAUCUUGAUAAUUCGGUACAUGAAAGUAAAAUAUGACUUUGAUGUAUGUUAGUUAAUAUUACUUAUUGUAUGUUUAGAAAUGAAUGACUCUCUGAGCUGUAUUUUGAUUGGUAAUGCCUCGUAACCCUAAUCUAGUGAUGGAUACGAGUUAGGGGUGUUACAUCUAUGUAUUUUAUUGAUGUCGCUCUUUUAUAGUGACAUUGUAGGUCCACAGAUGAGAAACAAGGUGGAGCCACAAUUGGGACUUGGGAGGAGUUUCAAAAAGAAUUCAAGGGGCAAUUUUACCGAGAAUAUGUCGAGGAUGAGGCUCAGGUUAAGUUGCGUCGACUUACGUAACAAGGCAUAAUCAGGGAGUAUAUGAAGGAGUUUAGUGGAUCAUGUUCUAUAUUUUUUAUUUGGGUGAGAAAAAGACAUUUUUCUCCCUUAUGGAUAGGCUGAAACCUUGGGCGGAGCAACAAUUGCAACGUCGAGCAGUCAAAGAACUUAUCAAAGCAAUGAUCGUAGCAAAGUCCUUAAUUAAGUUUGUUCCGAGGAAAGACGAGUUCAAGUCUUCCAAGACCAAUGAGACGGGUAAUGUUGUGGGAGACAAAGAAUGACAUGUUAAAAAUGACAAUGGUGAAAAUGGUGGUAAUGAGAAACUACAAAAUAAGAAGUGAAUCCGGAAGGCCCCUAUAUUAUAGGGAUUAUAUCAAAUUAGUCUCUCUAUAAAUGUACAAUUUAGUCAAAAAGAAUCAAAUAAGCCUUAAUUGUAAUAGAGUGAUCUAUCAAGUAUAGUCACCUUUUCUAAAACCAUUAGUUUGAAGUCAUUUUCAUUCUCUCUUCUUGAUAUGUCUUCUUGUUUUUUUUAAUUAUUUUGAAGGAUUAUCUUCAAUCCCAACCUUUAUUUUUUAAAUGUCUUCUUUUUGGUUAUUAUAAAAAAUCAUCUUCAAUCACAAUCAAAUUGGAAUCUUCAUUCUUUUUAAAAUUUUUGAGGUAACUAAUAGUCCUUAAACUUCUUCAAGCUUUUGUAACACCCCUUAAAUUUUACAGUAUGGUAAACAACACUAUUCUAAGAAUCACUACAAUGAAUUUUUGAGAAAAUUCAAUAAUGAGAAAAUAAAGAGAGUUUUUAGAAGGGACUAUAAUUAUUUAUUUUUGGAAAUCAAUGAAGUAAAUUUGGUAUGUGGAAUUGUGAAAAAAAUGACUAAAUUGUAAAAUUAAGAAAGUAAGAGAACUAAAGUAUAAAGUAACUAAUUUGAGAAAUUAUGGAUUGAUAAUGAUUUGUAAAUAUUAAGCCGACAUGAGACAUGUAUUAUCAAGGAAAAGCAAGUUUGGACUUAAUUGAAUAAAAUGAAAAGUAUAGGGCUCAAAUUACAAACUUCUCAUUUUGACUAGAAUAUAGGUAAAAGUAUCAUUUUCACCAUUUAUGGACUUAUUUAAGGGAUAUAUUUGAAUUUUGAUUUUUUGUUUGGAUAAGUGCUCAUUGUUGUAAAGAAAUUGUACAAAUAAACAAAAAGAAUAAUAUGAUAAGUUUGCCAUAAUCGGAUACUUUAGUCAUUUAUCAAGUACUUUACGAUGGAAAUAUUAUUUUAUUGGUAUUUUUAAUGUAUGGAAUUAAUUUGAAUUUUUAUGAUGAUAUGAGAGAAGAUAUAAAGUGUUAAGUGUCAUAUUUGGUAUUAAUUAAAGAGAAGUGAUAAGAGAAGGGACAAAGGUACAAUUUUACCAUUAAAAAUAUAUUUUGGGACUUAUCAUGAAUAUUUUAAUGAAAUUAUGGACUUUAUUUUAAUUGUGUUAUUAUGAGAAAAUUUAUGGUCAUAUAUUCCGGAUUUUUCAUUCAUGAAUCAAGGUAGAUUACUUGAGGUGAAUCUAGGGAGGCUGGCAGGGGCCCCGACCUCCCCUAAAAUGAAAAAUUGUUGUUUUAGCCUUUUAGAAAAUUUUAAAAUUUUAAAUUAAUAAAUAUAAAAUUGCACUUUUGGUGCCUCCUAAAAUUAUAAAAAUUUAAUUUAAUCCUUUAAAAAUUAUAAAGAUAUAGACUAUUAAAAAUUAAAAUUUCAUUUCGGCUCUCCCUAAUUUUUUUUUUUGGUUUCACCUAUGUAGACUACCCAUUUAAAAAUUUGUUUGACUUUGACUAAUCAAAUUAUGAUUUUUUUCCUCUCAUGUGUCGUCCCUCUCUCCUUAAGAAUUGAAAAUAUAUGUCGAAUAAUAUAAAUAUGAAAAUUGCCUCAACCUACUGCAAUUAUCUAAGGAGUAACCACUUCCUCAAGCACUCAUCUAAUUUUUCUAUAAUUUUCAGUAACUUCAAUAACUUCAAAUAUUUGUUGAGGUUUAGGAUGAAUAUUGUGAAGUGUUUUUUUAGGGAUAAUGAAUACAAAGCAAUUUAUGAGAAAAAAUGGAAUAUUACAACAAACACCUAAAAACAGAAACAAAUGUUGGCUAGAAAAUAUAAAAGUUUAAGCCAAUCGAGUCUUAGCUCGAUUGGUAUAGGUAUGUUGACAAUGCAGGAAGACGUGAGUUCGAGUGCGAUGAAAUGCAUUAUCUUCCUAUUUAUGGGUUGGGAUAGGACUAUGAGUAGUUCUAGAUAUUGUGUCAAAAAGAGCAGAUAUGAUCAGAACUUAUAAUGAGAUUGUUCAAAAAAAAGAAUUUUAUCGGGUGUUAGUAUAAGUGGCAUAAAACCAGUGAAUAGAGUUAACAAUUGAACCUGAAUUUUAAAUUUUAAAAAAUACAAGUACUAAAUUCCUAAAAAUACAAAGACCAAGUUCUUAACUUUCAAAAAGUACAAGGACUAUAACCACAUUUUAACCUUUCAUUAAUUAAAGGUUUGUCAAAGUUGAAGCUUAAUUCAAUGAUCUAUGUUAUAAAAUAUAUCUUAACCCGGCCACCUUAAGCUUUUAUUAUGGUCUAUUAAUUUAUGUUCACGACCACCUUCAACUUUUUUAUGAUCCACUAAUUUACAAUCAUAAACUUAGACUUUCUUACAGUCUAUUGAUUUAUGAUCAUGACCUUUUACUUACGAGAUUUUAUUAAUCUCACGGUCCGCUAAUUUACGAUCAUGACAUUUUACUUACAAGAUUUUAUGAAUCUCGCAAUUAGCUGAUUUACGAUCACAAAAUUUAACUUUCUUAUAAUCCACUAAUUUACAAUCACAACAUUUUACUUACAAUUUGCAAUAGUCAAUAAAUUUUCGAGUUCAAACUUGCUUGGUAAACCCUUAGUUACAUGUAUGCGUGUAAAUUUAUCUCCAAAGACUCAAUUUAUAACUCUACUUCAAUAAGUUAGGAGACAAAUUGUUAUAAAAUAAUCUUAACCUGACCCAAGAUCCAAUUCAAAAUCCAAGCCGGAAGAAACCACCUUAUAUACAUUUCUAAAUACCCUCUUAAGAAUACCGACUCGAGAGAAUAUCUUUUAUCUUCCUCUUCACCCUAACAUAUUUUUUCUCCCUACCCCACCCAACCAGAAACUGUAACAACAAUCUAUAUUGUAAACUGGGAAUAUCAAAUUGCUCUAAUCAUGCAAAUAAGUUGUUAGUUUUAGUUGCCUUAAAACAACUUUUGUACCGAUAUUUAUAAAUUUAUUUAUAUUUUAUCUAUAAUAUACCAACAGAACUUUAUGGUGUUCAAGUAAAAGCACCAAGAAAAAUGCAAUCAAAUGUCUGACCCAACUCCAUCCCCAACCAGUGGUUAAACCAAAUCCUUCAGUUAGCAAUUCCAGAUUCAGACAAAACACACGACUGUGCUACGUCUUUCCUAACUCGACCACAAUCACACUAAUGUUGUCUUUGCUACCCCUAGACAUUGCGAGUUCAACCAACACCGCCGCUGCUUCAGAAGCGCGGUUUUGAUUCAAAACAUCAGCUGUUUUGCUCCUUAUUUGGCCGUUCAGACAUCGCCUUACCACUCGACACGCCACCUCAUUCGAUACCACAUCCCAAAGUCCGUCACUAGCCAGUAUCAGGAACUCGUCACCAUUCGUUACCUCUCGUACGGUCACUUCCGGUUUGCAUAUCACAAAGGGUUUGAGGUACUGAUUACCUGCUUGCAUUCCAUUCCAAAUUACAUUACAUAUGAAUAGAAUAUUAUGUACGUAAUUGCAAAUAUAUUUGGUUACCUAUGGAUCUUGAAGUGGCCAGUACUCCAAGCACUCGAUAUCCAUUCCAGUUUAUGACCCUUCCACCAGCAGCUUCAACUCUCUCCAACUCAUCAGGCCUGUCGGGCUUUGCAAAAACAAAGUGUCAACAUGGGAGGCCACCACCACUACCUGCCCCUUUAUCUUCGUCCUUAAGCUCAGUAUAAUAUGCUAUUGAAUAAUUUUUUUUUUCAUUCCAAUAAAAUCCGUAGGACCAAGUUCUAUACUUAUAAAAGCUGUACAUCGCAAUAAUAACAGUUUGGAAGGAGCGACAAUAGAUAGUAUAUAAACAUAAUGAUUAAGCAUGCAUCAAUAUAGGUCAAAGUAGAGGCAAAGAAAACAAGUGUAAAGAAAAAGGGGGCAAAUUGAAAGAGUUGUAAAGUUAAAUUAGUAUAUAAAUAUAAGCAUCAUCCUUGAUUACCCUAAAGGGAUGGCGAGCUUAAUCCUCUUAUUGCUAAUUAGACAUUAUUUGUGGAAAACGAAGAGCUUCAGUCUAGCUUUGAGAUUCAGAUACUUCCACUCAUUUCCCAUAUAUAUGAAGUUACACCUCCAUCGAAUUGAAGAUUUCAUGGUUUCAUAGUUUCCAAUUAAAUCUUUAAGAAUAUUCAACAGGUUGAGUCCAUAAUAAUUUUCAUCAGAAGCAAAAGCUAUAAUUUGGGAGCCAGGGGUGCUUAAGCAAGCGACUCUAUAUCUUUUAUACAAAGCCUUCUCUUGGCUUAAACAUUCGAACAAGGUAUAGUUGGAUUCAGCUGGUUGGGAUCUAUAAUCUUUUAGGCCGCUGAAACUUGGUUGUUCCUCCGCGAAUGGAAAGGCAGAUAAAUUGAGAUCUAAAAGCUGCUGCCAGAGGCAACGGCCGGGAACGUAGAAGUCAAUCCGUUGAGCUUCAUAAUCUAUGUGCUUCACCAAUAGCUUCAGCGAACGUGGUAUCUUCAGCAGGGUCUGUUUGUUUUCUGAGCAGGAAAGCUGAAACCCAGGAUGAGGAUAGCCGCAGUGGGGAGACUGCUGGCCUUCUAAACGGAAGGGGAAACGGACAGGUGGAUCCUGGUGGUUGCACCGCCGCACCUUGCAGUCGUCUUGGAUUGGCACUGCUUCUGCAACAUUCACAGCUAAGAUAAAGCAGAAUAACGAGUAAAUUAACAUUGUUCUUACUAACUUGUGAGCCCCUGAAGUGAAACGGGCUUUAAAUAGUUUCAUUGACAUAGGUGGUUCAGCCCUUGAGAGUUCCAAUUAUGCACGCAACGCAGCUGCUGCUUUACUACAUAGCUUUGUCUCGUUUAACAGGGUCUUCAACUCUUCGUCCUCUCUUUGUCCUCUUUUAUGAGUAAAUGUUGGACAUGUUUGAUUGUUAGCAACCCUUUCUAACCUUGUUACUAAUUUUCUUUUAUUCCCGUUAGUUGUAGUAAAAUUUGAGGAAAAAACACUGAACAUGAGAAUGACUACCGAUUUGCUGUUGUGAUCAUAGUGGGGUCAGCUUGACUGACUUUUGUUUUUCCACCUUCGUUUCACUACAUUUUGUUUGGUAUGACUAAGAAGUUGACUGACUUUUAUGGGUUCUUUUUAAUGUCUAUCGUUUCCUUUCCAAUGUAGGUGGUUUUUUUAUCACUUUCUUUUUUUUCUAAUUUAUCUUUUAUUUUUGGAUUUUAAUUAAAAAUGGCAAAACUCGAAUCAUAUGUUUUUAAAUUACUUCUUUUAGAUACAACAAAUUUUUUAGAAGUGGAUACAAGACAAUGAGAUGAUUUUUUCCACAUGAGUAUGAAACAAUUAUAGGCAUUGUUUGCUCUACUCACCUUAUCUCGAAAUAAUCUUUUACCUUUCUUUGUAUAUAAUUAUUAAAAUGAUAAAAAUGUAAUAAUAUAUUAUAGGAAAAAUUCAUAUGUUUUAUAUUUAUAUUUUUAAAAAAUUAUGUUUAAAUAUUUUCUUGUCUUAAAAAAAGUAAAAUUAUUAAAAUAACUAGAAAUAAAAAUUAAAUUAAAGUAGAGCGAAGAAAGGUGAGAUGGGAUGGGGAUGAAUGCUUCUAAUAUCUAUGCGGUUAUAGUAAUUUUUCAGAUUAUACAUCCAAAGUGGAGAGAGGUGGGUGGUGGAGUAAAGCAUGUCAACUGUGGAGCGAUGAUGGAUUUGACAACAUUUAACCUGUCUUGCUCCAUUGCAUAAUGCUUAAUAGUAUGCCUUCUUUUUUUAUUAAAUCAUUACAAUCAAUUUUGAAUUGAUACUGUUCAGAUAAACCAAAUAGUUUCAUUUAAGUGAUAAAUCGAAACAAUAAAAUCUGUGGAUCAAAGUCUAUAAUCAAUGUGCAUAGUAUCGCCCAAUUGAUCAAAUAGGACUCUUUUAACCCUUUUAAAUUGGCAUGAGUCAUAGAACACAUGGAGAAGCCCAUCCACUUGAAGCAUUGGUGGCUCAGUGAAAUACUCCGGUAAAACUAGAGUUACCAUGGUGAAUAUUUGUAAUCCUAAGGGAUUAAAUUAUUAACUUAAUUGCAGAAAUACCAAAAUUCAAGAAUAUUUUAGUAAUUUUCUAUUUUCCUCGAAUUUCCACCCAAUCUUGAUCUAAAUUGAUAUUUCAUUCAAUUUAUUAACUUAAAUAAUAAAACAAUUCAUUUCAUGCAAUUUGGUCACUUUUUGACAUUUUUACCAAUUUACCCUUAAAAUAUUAUUUUUAUUCAAUUUAGUCCUUGAACCUAAAACAUGCAAAUUGGUUAUUUUUAAUUAAAACUCAUGCUAGUUGAACAAUCAUUUAUUUUCCUCCUCCUCCUCUCCAUUCCACAUCCUUAAUGUAUAAUAUGCUUAUAUGUAACAUUUCUAUAAUUCCACCAUUUAUUUAUAUAUUAAUUCAAAGCUAUCAACUUGAGUCAUAGUCACUAAAUCAUUUAUAUCUUUAGCUACGGAACUCCGAAUUAAGAUCCGCUAAAUUCCUAUGAAACUAGACUCGUAUAUCUUCUUACCAUAAAAUUUUAAGAAUUUUUGGUUUAGCCAAUAAGUACAGUUUAUUUUUUAAAUUUUUUCCUAUUUCACUGUUUGACAGUUCUGAACCCUCUUGACUAAAAAUUAAUUAUCUCUUUUUACAGAAUUUGGAUGAUAUUUCCGUUUUUUUCUAUUGAAAAUGGAACCAUUAAUUAUUUUAAAAAUAUAAAUUUAAGCCUAUAAUUAUUUUUAUUCAAUUUUUUAUGAUUUUUCAAAUUCAAAAUAGGGGAACCCGAAUUCAUUCUGACCUUGUCUCACAAAAUUUAUUAUAUCUCAUGAUUUACAAUUCCAUUACUUACACCGUUUAUUCUAUGAGAAACUACACUUAAUAAGCUUUAAUUCCAUGUUUUUUUCAUCCUAUAAUUCGAUUUCCAAAAUUUAUGGUGAUUUUUCAAAUUUAACCUACUGCUGCUGUCCAAAACUGUUUUAGUGCAAGAUGUUGAUUACUAAGUUUAUAACUCCCUUAUUCCCUUUCUCUAUAAUAUUUCCCAUCAUUUUCACUUAUUUCCCUUCACUAAUAUAUCAAGAACAUAAGACUUUAUUUAAGAAAACUCUACUAUAACAUCAUUUCCAUACUUUUUCAACAAUAACAAACUUAAAAAUAUAUUGAAAUCUUGAAGUUCUUACCUUGUGCUAUUGAUUUCAAUCUUUAACUUGAUUUUCUCUCUCCUCCAGCUUCUUUUUCUUGAAUCUAACUUGACAUUCUAGCUCCCCAUUGUCUCUUUAUUAUUUUUCUCUCUUGGAAGCUAUGGAAAUUCUUUUGUUUUCUAGGUGAAAAUAGUGAAUUUUUGGUGAAAGGACCAAAUUGUAAAGAAAGAAAAACUUUCUUUCUUCUCUUCUCUUCUAACGUUGGUUGCAUGGAAAGAUGAUGAUUUUUCAUCAUCUUUCCUCCCUUUUAUAUUAAUCAUCUAAUAAUAAAAUAAUACUAAAAAUCUUAAUAAAAUAUUAAUUAAAUAACAUUUAUCUAAUUAAUUAAUUAAAAAUAUCACAAACAUCAUCAUUACCUUCUAGAAUUCUCUCUCUAUUUGACCAUUUUGCCCUUUAUAAUCUUUUGAAAUUUCAUUCUUGAGUCAUCACUUAAUUUGGAAAAGUUACAAUUUAGUCCCUCAAAGUUCCUCACUUUUUCAAUUUGGUCCUAAUUCAUCCAUUUUCCUUAGUUUCUAGAUUAUUCCACCCUUAAAAUAUUUACACUAUUUGUCCUUCAAAUUUUUCAUAUUUACACUUCAACCCCUUAAAUUUUGAGUAUUUACUCUUGGGCAACAAAACUUUUCUCACGUUUGCAAUUUAAUCCUUUAUUGAAUUAAUAUAUCAUAAUAUACUUCCCAAUGUUGACAUAACUCAAUAUUACCUUUUUUAUCACUUUAUUUCCUUAUUUUACUAUAUCAAUGAUAUUAUCUUACUUUAUUACUGUAGUAAAUUUCGGGGUAUUACACAGGGAGUAUAUGAAGGAGUUCAGUGGAUCAUGUUCCAUAUUUUUUAAUUGGGUGAGAAAGAGACAUUUUUCUCCCUUAUAGAUAGGUUGAAACCUUGGGCGAAGCAACAUUUGCAACGUCGAGGGGUCAAAGAUCUUACCAAAGCAAUGAUCGUGGUGGAGUCCUUAAUUAAGCUUGUUCCAAGGAAAGAAAAGUUUGAGUCUUCCAAGACCAAUGAGAUGGGUAUUGUUGUGGGAGACGAAGAAGGACAUGUUAAAAAUGACAAUGGUGAAAAUGGUGGUAAUGAGAAACUGCAUAAUGAGAACUGAAUCUAGGAGGCCCUUGUAUUAUAGGGAUUAGAUCAAAUUAGUCUCUCUAAAAAUGUACAAUAUAGCCAAAAAGAAUCAAAUAAGUCUUAAUUGUAAUAGAGUGAUCUAUACAGUCACCUUUUCUAAAACCAUUAGUUUGAAGUCAUUUAAUUAUUCUGAAGGAUUAUCUUCAAUCCCAACCUUUUUUAUUUUGAAAUGUCUUUUUUUUUGUUAUUAGAAAAUUCAUCUUUAAUCACAAUCAAAUUGGAAUAUUCAUUCUUUUUAAAACUUUGAGGUAAUUAAUAGUCCUUAAACUUCUUCAAGCAUUUGUAACACCCCUUAAAUUUUACAGUAUGGUAAACAACAUUAUUCUAAGAAUCACUACAAUGAAUUUUUGAGAAAAUUCAAUAAUGAGAAAGUAAAGAGAAUUUUUAGAAGGGACUAUAAUUAUUUAUUUUUGGAAAUCAAUGAAGUAAAUUUGGUAUGUGGAAUUGUGAAAAAAAUGACUAAAUUGUAAAAUUAGGAAAGUUUGAGAACUAAAGUAUAAAGUAACUAAUUUGAGAAAUUAUGGAUUGAUAAUGAUUUGUAAAUAUUAAGCCGACAUGAGACAUGUAUUAUCAAGGAAAAGCAAGUUUGGACUUAAUUGAAUAAAAUGAAAAGUAUAGUGCUCAAAUUACAUAUUUCCCAUUUUGACUAGAAUAUAGGUAAAAGUAUCAUUUUCACCAUUUAUGGACUUAAAGGGAUAUAUUUGAAAUUUGCUUUUUUUUUGGAUAAGUGCUCAUUGUUGUGAAGAAAUUGUACAAAUAAACAAAAAGAAUAAUAUGAUAAGUUUGCCAUAAUCGGAUACUUUAGUCAUUUAUCAAGUACUUUAUGUUGGAAGUAUUAUUUUAUUGAUAUUUUUAAUGCAUGGAAUUAAUUUGGAUUUUGAUGAUGAUAUGAGAAGAUAUAAAGCAUUAAGUGUCAUAUUUGGUAUUAAUUAAAGAGAAGUGAUAUAAUAGAAGGGACAAAAGGUACAAUUUUGCCAUUAAAAAUAUAUUUCUUGACUUAUCAUGAAUAUUUUAAUAAAAAUUAUGGACUUUAUUUUAAUUGUGUUAUUAUGAGAAAAUUUAUGGUCAUAUAUUUUAAAUUUUUUGUUCAUGAAACAAAGUGGACUACCAGAGGUGAAUCUAGGGGGGCUGGCAGAGGUCUUGACCUCCCUUAAAAUGGAAAAUUAUUGUUUUGGGCCUUUAGAAAAUUUUAAAAUUUUAAAUUAGUAAAUAUAAAAUUACACUUUUGUCCCCCUAAAAUUAUGAAAAUUUAAUUUAAUCCUUUAAAAAUUAUAAAGAUAUAGACUAUUAAAAACUAAAAUUUCAUUUCGGCUCCCCCUAAAAAUUUUUUUUGGCUUCACCCCUGUGGACUACCCAUUUAAAAAUUUGUUUGACUUUUGACUAAUCAAAUUGUGAUUUUUUUCCUCUCAUGUGCCGUCCCUCUCUCCUUAAGAAUUGAAAAUAUUUGUCGAAUAAUAAUAGAAAUAACAAAUCCUUCUUCGAGAUGUCCAGUGAUUUCUGUGUUCUUUUUUUUUAAUGAGAUAAAGGAAUUAAUCAAGAUGUGUGUGCAAGAAAUUGAAGAAUUUGGAAACAAGUGUAGAAGAAUUUUAGGAACAUUGUGGAGUAUUCAAUGAAAUUCUCAAGAGAAAAGAUAGACAUAUAUUGCCAAUCCAAUAAAAGUAAAAUGAGAUUCCGAAAAUGUUUAAUAAUGAAUCAUUUGUAAAGGAUGAAAGUGAAGUGAGAUUAUCUUGAAGUAGACAUUACGGAGGAAAUAGUACUCAUUAAAGCUAGAAAAAAAAAGUUAAGUGUUGAUCGUUGACACUAAGAAAGUGUAUCACAAAGGAAGUGCGAAGAAGAGAUACAAGUAUUCGAAGAUGGUAAUAAAGACUUACGAGGAUUGGAAAGUGAUAAUUAAUGGAAACCAUAUAAGAGAGGUGAAAUAUAACAUUCUAAAGCUUGACCUAGAAACCUAAUCGAAUUUGGAGUGUUAUUGUGGUCAUCAGAGCAACCUGCAUGAUCAAUCGUUCAUUCAAUCACAUUAAAAUAUAAAAAAAUUAGACAUACACACAACAAGUCAUUUAACAAAACUUAAUCAUAUAAUCAUUGAGUUCCUAAAUCAAAAUCAAAACACCCAAACUGACCAAUUAGCAAAUCCUAAGUACAUGUCAAACUAUACUAUUUCAAGGGUUUUUACAAAAUAAGAAUUGCGGAGACUCUGAGGCGAUGUCUGCUCUGACUCAAACUCACAAACUAUUUGAUCCAAAUAUUACCUAUGCACGGAAUUAAUAACCCGUACAUCGGGCUUUUCAGAGCUUGGUGGAGACCAAAACAGUCUAAACUACUAAUGCAUAUAAUUGAAAAUAAAAACAUUUUAAUCAAAUACAACUAUAUAUAUAUGCAAUAAUUCGAGGAGUGAAAGUCACACUCAAUAAAAAUUGUCAGAGACGCAAUACAAUCAUGAAUCAGUCACAAAAUAACAUUUAUGUAAUAGCCCAAUUUUGACCUUAAUCGGAUAUAGUGGUUUCGAAACCAUGAAUUCGAGUCAGAAAAAUAUUUUUUAUAUUAUUUUUAGUGUUUAUUAUAUUUUAAGUUAUAGGUGUGAAAAAUUCGUGUGGAAAUUUUAUUGUUUAAAGGUUCAAUUUGAUAAAAAAUGAUUUAAUCGCGUAAAAUAAAAAUUUAGAGGUUAAAUUUUAAAAGCACUUAUUUGUUGUUGUCUUUUUAAGUGGGAGGUCUAGAGAUGUAAUUAGACCAAAAUAUAGUUAGUGGAUGACAUAUGACAACAUUGUCCCUUACAUAUAUGUUUUAUAUAUUUAUUAUAAUAAGGUUAAUUAAGUAAUUUAAUAAUUAUAAUGUAUAAAUGUUAAAAUAAACUAAGAAAAGAUGAUUUUUAUCAUCUUUGAAAGCCGAAUGUGUAAGAGAACUCAUGCAUGGUUUCUUGUUGAAUGUUCGGCACUUUUAAAGACAAAUUAAGGUAUGGGUUGGUUUCAGUUUUUGAUAAUUUUUACGUUUUUGAGAUCGUUGUUUCGAAUACUAUCCGACCCAUGUUUGAAUUUUUAAUUUUGAUGAAUAUUUUGAGUUGUGCCAUUGAUGAACAUUUGUGUUAUGUGAUGUUUGAUGAUGAAUAAUGAAAGAUACAUUUUAGAUUAAUAUGUUUUGUAUUGGAAGUUUUGGUGAAAUUGAGUAAUUAGAGUUAAAUUGUGAAAUUAAAUUUUUGAGGGAUUAAAAUGUGAAAUAAAUGAAAUGUGAGGAUUGGUAUGAACAAUAGGUACAUUCGGCCCUUAAGGAGUGUAGUCAAAAUUUGUGUAUUUUGUGUUUUGAGCAAAAAGGAUUAAAUUGUAAAAAGUGUGAAAUGUUAGGGGCAAAAUUGUAAUUUGCCCAUAUAUAUGUUCUUAGACUAAUUGAAUGAAAAAAAAAUGUUUAAAUGAGAUUUUUUUGAAUAUGUUUAGAUCAAGAAACCAAGAAAUCGAAUUUAGAUCGGGGGAAAUCGAAAGUAGUUGAGUAGCCGAUCUAUUAGUCGACGACAUCCGAGGUAAGUUAUUAAGCAUAUAUAUAUAAUUGUGUAUUUUUAAAAUCAGCUUAGUAUUUAUGUAAUUAUGCUGAAUUGAAUGAUAUAUAAAUAUACAUGUAGUGAUAAAAUUAUUGAAAUAAGAUAUAUUGAGUUGUUGACUUUUGACACUAAGUGUGCGAAUUUAAUUGUAAAGCACUAAUUGUGCAAGUUUAAUUGAAAAGCACUAAGUGUGCGAGUUUAAUGGUAAAGCACUAAGUGUGCGAACUUAUUAAAUAUUUUCGAAUAACUAUUAGCAUUGAGUAUUUGUUUUUUUUUUUUUUGAGAAAUUAUGAUUAGUAAAAUGAGUAAAUACUUGGAAUUUUUGUGGUUGUAUUUAAGGUUAAGCUUUGUAGGUAUUAAACCUAUGUGGUGAUUAUAUUUGGAAUUAUAUAUAUAUAUAAUAUGAUUCUUUAUAUUACAUGGUGAGGAACUGCAUAAUGUAUUUGGUCUUGUGAUUAAAUUUGAAGAAAUGUUUAUGGUUAUGUAAUUAUAUUGAUUUAGUUAAAUCAUAGUAAUAAGUGAAUAAUUAUCUUAUGAUAUGGUAAGCUAAAGGUAAGAUGAUUUAGUAGUAUGAAUUGGUUGAAUAUUAUUUAAGAUAUCGGUUUAAAUAGUAGAGUUUAUUUGCUUAUAACUUACUAAGCUAAAUUAGCUUACAAUGUGUUGGAUAAUUGUUUUUUUUUUAUGUAUAGAUUUUGGUGAUUGCUACGUGUUCGGGGAUCGUCAGCUAAGUUCGUCACACUAUCGAUAUUUUCUUUUGGUACUUUACUAAAUCGUUUUCAAAUAUAUGGCAUGUAUAGCAUAGUUAAAAUAUUGAAUUUGGAACUAAUGUGUAUAUGUAUUUAAAAGCCAUGCGAAAGAGGCUUAUAUAUAUUUUUUUUUUUGGACUUGAAUUUGGUUUGGAUGCAUGUGUUUAAUGAUUAUGAGUGUGGUAUAUGCUUAUGGUAUUAUUAUAUGGAGGGAUUAUUUGUUCUUGGUAUAUAUAUAUAUUGGGCUACAAUGGAAUUAAUGAAUAGUUAAUUAAAGUUAGUUGCAAGAUGUGUACACGUAUGGUUGUGUAAAAAAAUGUGGAUUUCUAACUUAAAAAUGUGUGAGAGUAGAUAUUAAUAAGCAUGCUAUAUAUAUAUAUAUAUAUAUUCAUAUAUGUGCAUGGUAUGUUUGAUUUUGGUAUGUUAAGGGUUUGGCAUUGUAUAUAGGUAAUGACUUAAAAUAAGUCUAGUUCAUGACUAGCUGCUUAUUAAAUUAUGUUUAUAAUAAUUCGGUCUUAACUUAGCUCUGCUUUGAAAUUAUGUGAUAUGAUUUGAAUGGUUAUGUUUAAUUUGAUUUUAUAUGUGACUAUAAGAUUCGGCCAUGAUGUAAUAUUAUUAUGUAUGUAUGUAUAUAUAUAUAUAUAUUCAUUUGAUUAGUAAUAGAUAUACUUAUUAAUGCCGCAUAUGAAAUAGAGGAUAGGUUUUGUAACAUAUUUUGUUUAGUCCAUUAAGUACAUGUUUAUUAAUAAGCAUAAAGAUGAUAAAAAAAAUCAUUAUAUAUAUUUUUUAUACCAUUUUAAUGAUAAACACACGAUUCGUGUAUUUAUUUUGAAGCAUAAGUUGUAUGGAUUUAAGGCAUGAUUUUUUUUAAGGUGUAAAUAUGAUUAUAUUCAUGAGAUACUAUAUUUGUUUUGUGAUUAAUAAUGUAUGUAUAAUUUGUAAUUAGUCUCUUUUUUUUCAGUAAUACCUCAUAACCCUAAUCUGGCGACGGACACGGGUUAGGCGUGUUACAAUUUAAAAUAACAAUAAAACAAUAUAAGACAUUCAAUAAAUAUCGAUGGUGUUUUGAUUCAAUGUUCAAGUUCAUUAAAUAAUUUUUCUCAAAUAACACAAGAAGGAAAGAUAUUCGAACACACGAGUGUCCAACCAAACACCAAAUGAUCAAUGAAAUUAGUGCAAGUGCCAACAAUAACAAUAUUCCAUUGGGAGAUAAUGCAACUUAGUCUAUAAUCAACCAUCACACUAAAUGCACAAAACGCAACAAUGACAAUGCUCCUGAAUGCUUAAGACAGUUCCACAAUAAACAAUGAUGGAGAUUCCUCCACCUUACGAGAUGUGGCUUAUACCAAAACAUUUCAAUUAUUAAAAUAGUAAUUAACAAUGAUUUUCGGAACAUAACCAAUUAAUAAAAAUAACAUUUUAAAAAUAGUAACCAUAAUUAAAAUCAAUUUAAUAAACUGCCACACAAGUAAAAAUUCAUAUGCAAGGAAUCAAAAUAUCAGUCCACUAAGCCAAUAAUUUAAUUGCAACAUUAACAUAAUUUAAAACGUAACGAUUACAAACUAAUUUUUUAAAUGUUGGUUGCUUAGGAUCACAUGCACUAUAAACGUAAGGACCACCGUUGAAAGCCAUGCAAAAAUCUACAAUUUUAUAUUUAUAUGUGUAUAUAUACACAUAUACAUAUACACGUAAACACUAUAAAUCAUGCCAACCAUUAACAAAGCCAUGCAAAUAUUUAUAUUUAUAUAUUUCAUAUAUUUAUACAUUCACAUGCACAUAACUAAAUACGACAUCAUGCAAAUAUAGUUAUGUACAGAAUAUUGAUAUAUUAUCUCAUUAAUUUUAAAAAUAAACAACACCAAAAGACCAAGCUUUACACUACUCACACGACAUAACAUUGGUUUCACGAAUCCUCAAAGCACUACUCCCUCUGGGCUUUCUACGAUUUAACAGCAACCUGCUUUGUCUUUAUUUGGUUGUGGCUUCUAUGCAGAUUAGACGAGAGGCUUCAAUGGAUGAUAUAAAAGAGGUGGUGUUGGUCAGUGGUGGGCAGAGGUGGCCUGAUGUCGGUGCAAGGAGAUCAACGGUUAGGACCAGGGUGACUGUGGAGCGAUGAGAUGUUGGGGCGACGGAAGAACUCACGAUGGCGAUGAGAGGGCGGACAAUGGUGCAUUGAUGGAGAUGACUCCAAGGCAGCGUGAUGAAAGGGAGGGACGACUUGGGGCAGUUGGCUGACGGUGUGGCGACUAAGAGGAUCGGUGCUUAGUGAUGGAAUGAAGGAGACAAUGCCUGACGUUGGGGAGUGAAAGGUGGUAAUCAGUCUUUUAUUAGGGGUAGAAUUCUACAAAAGAAGGGUUUUGAUAGUAGGAAAGUUUGACCAAAUGUGUAUUCUUUCUUAGUUGUAACUCUGAAACCUAAUUGAUGAUGAUGAUGAUGAUGAUGAUAGAGCACACACGCCCAGGCCACCACUCUGUCAACUAAGUUGUUUAAGGGCUAAUUCCAAUAUUUGUCCCCAAUUAAUUGCUGAGGUUUCAAUUUAAUCCAUAAAUCAAGAUCAAAAUUCAAUUAGUCUUAAAAUUAAACUAAAAAAUCAAAUAAGUUCAUAAUACACAAAAAAUCACUAAAAAUAUAAAUUUUAUCCUAAUGUUCCAAAAUUCCGAAAAUAUAUUUAUCGAACUUAUCUCGAUUUUGUGUGAAAUCAUAGUUGGAAAUUUUGGAGUGUUUCACGAAAUUAUCCAUCAAAGUGCCUUAAGAAGUAGUAGUCGAGUAGUGCGUUGUUAAAAGUUCCUAGAAAGAUGUUAACAUUGGAUAUUAAAUGAGCAUCGUGGAUGGAAAAGAGGACAUCAAAAUACGAGUAUAGAGAUUUGUAGCUUGCUACCAGAGGCAAAGCUAGUUGCUGGUAGGGCUUGACCUCCCUUUAAAUGGAAUAAUUUCAUUUAUACUCUUAUAUAGUUUAUAAAAUUUUAAAUUAGUAAUAAAAAAAUUUAUACUUUGACCUCCUUUAAAAAUUAUAAAGAUAUUAUAAAAAUAUAUAAUUUAAUUUCACCCCUAAAACAAAUUUUUGGUUUCCCGGAUUAUAGAAAAGCUAUAAUCGUGUUAUGAAGUGAUAAUGGGUAAAUAAGUAUAAGAGAAAUGAGUUGAAAAGUAGGAAGAGAGAAGUAUGUAUUUGGUAUUGAGAUCAUAUGAGUUGGGAAGUUAAAUCGUGGGUUGACGUGAACGGAUAAGGCACGCAUUGGAUGUGUGGGAAGAGAUUUAAGUCAAGAAGAAAAGUGACAGUAAUUUGAAGUAAACAAUGAAGGUUAUGCACAUGCUCAAAAGGAAAAGUUAUGAUCAUUUGAUGGGGAUGAGUCAAGAUAAGAUAGCCAAUUAAAGGUGCAAAAUUAACCCAAGUUGAGAUGAAUAUGGUGAAUAUAAGCUUGUUAACCCAAGUUGAGUGACAUGUCAAGUUAUAACAAUCAAGUGAAAAUGAUUGAUGUGGUAUAUUAAAAUUAUAUGUUAGUGACAUAUAUGGUAUGGAAGACAUUAGAAGAUAAGAAACUUAUGAUUCGUGCUAAGGUUAAGAUUUAUAGAUAUUUGAUGAAUCAAAGGACAUCUUGUGCAAUGUGAAAGAUAAAGAGGGAAAUUUAUUUAGGGUUCAACAUUUAAGUGAAGCAAAUUAUAAGGUUGUGAAAACCGUUAAAAGGAUAAAAUGUAAAUUUUAGAAUAUAAAAAAAUUAAAUUGAAUUAAUGGAAAAAAAAAUGACAAAGAGGUAAUUUUUACUUAAUUUACUUUACUGAAAGUAAAUGGAUAAUUAUGGAAUUAGAGAAUAAAGAAAAUUGGGGAAAAAAGAAGGAGGAGGAGGAGAAGUGUUGUCAUGAUUAUGACCCUUGGAUAUUAUGGAAGAGGUGAAGAAAUAAUUGCAAUUGGAUAUUAAUUAUGAUGAUGGGAUUUUUAUUAAUGUUUUAAUUAUAUUAAUUGCUAUAUGGCCGUGUGUCAAGCCAUGUGGCUCAAAUGAACGUGUGGAAGAGGUCAGUCUAUGUGGCUCCUGUACUUGUUCUGAUUUUCGAUUCUUGAUAAGUGUCAAAAGUAACAUAUUUUAAUCUCAUUCUUAAUUCAUUUUUAGAUGAUUAAUCAAUGCAAAACGGUAAAAUUUAUGCUCAUAAUCCUUUAAAUUCAUAUUUCUAUACUUAUAAGAGCAUUUGAGAGAAAAAUUAGUGAAAACGAAGCGAAAAUCAAAAAAUUGGAGCAGAUUUCAAGAGCCACACGAGUUGGACACAUGGUCAUGUGAGCCACACGGGCUGCCACACGGCCAUGUGCCAGAUAGAGACACAUGGUCAUGUGAGCCACACGCCAUGUGCCAGAUAGAGGUGCUCAUGGGCCGGGCCCGGCCGGGUUCGGGCCGGGCCCAUAAAAAAUUUCGGCCCGGGUCCUAGGCCCGGCCCGACCCGGCCCGAAAUAUGGGCCUAAGAUUUUGCCCAGGCCCGGCCCGGGAAAAAAAUCAUAAGCCCGGGCCCGGCCCGUCCCAUUUUUAUUUUAAAAAUUUUAAAAAAAUUAAAAAAAGUAUUUUAAAAAUAUUUUAAAAUUAAAAAAAAAUUAAAAAAGUAUUUUGAAAAUAUUUUAAAAUUAAAAAAUUUUUAAAAAGUAUUUUAAAAAUAUUUUAAAAUUAAAAAAGUAUGUAAAAAAUAUUUUAAAAUAAAAAAAAAUAUUUAUUAUAUCGGGCAGGGCCGGGCCCGGGCCGAAAAAGUGGUGCCCGAGGCCCGGCCCAUUUUCUAAACGGGCCUCGUUUUUUUGCCCAAGCCCAUAUUUCGGGCCUAUAUUUUUACCCAAAUCCUCUCAUAUUUCGGGCGGGCCGUCGGGCCGAGCCGGGCCACCCGGCCCAUGAGCACCUCUAGUGCCAGACCGUGUGGAUUUCGCAUUUCACACUCCAAAUAUGUGGAAUCACGCAAUUUUUAAGUUUUUCGGGCAUUCUUAGACCUAUAUAUACCAAAUAUAUGGAGAGAAGUAAGAGCCGUCAGAGAAUAUUGAAGAAAACAACUCAAAAGACAUCAUUGAAGUCGACUUUGAAACAAAUUUCUACUAAGAUUGAAGAUCUCCUUUUGAUUUCUUUGAAGUUUAUUAUGAGUUUUUUUAUUUCUUGUGGUUAUACUGUCUUUGAGAUGUUUUUACUCUCGAUUAUGAACUAAUUUUCUAAAGAUGAACCUUAUGACAAAUUUUGUCUUUUGACUUCUAUUUUAUGCAAUGAAUAAUUAAAUCUUGUUCUCAGUUAUGUGUGCUAAAUUUUUUAUUUAAUAUUUUCAAAUUAUUAAUUCAUGUUUGAUAUGCUUAAUUCAGAGUAGAUCUAGCAUAAUUCAAUGGAGUUGCAUGUAAUCCUAGAAAUAGGACAACAUAAAUCUACCCUGUUAGAGUCAAAUCUAAUAGAAGAAUUCAUAAAUCGAGUCGGUACGAUAAUAGGGAUUUCAAUUAAUCCGUAAAUAUCCCAAAAUAAUAUUCGACUUAUACGAUACAUUUCUAAAGUUGCGAAAGAGUACCUUGGGUGCAAUAUGGCCCAUGGUACCUCUAACUGUUGUCAUUGAAAUAGCAUUUUGUUCCUUGGAACACAAUUUAGCAAGGCCUGAAUGGAGGAUACGUUACUAGCCUUGAUGCAGGUACUCGAUGCCUUUGGUUACACCGACAAUAAUAUCCUGAAGUUUUUCCCAACUAAGGGAUCGAUCCGUACCCUUAGCUUGCAAAUAUGAACUUCUUUAAUGACUCGUUUGGUAGGUAUUCAUAAAUGAGAACUCAGUCAUAUCCAUCGACACAAAACUCAACCAGGCAUGUCACAUUCACAUGGUGGAUUCUGCCCAUCGAACCCACCUCAUUGAUGAACUCUCAAUAUUUAACUAAAGUUUGCUUUUUUACUUUUUUUUUUAUUUUCAUUUUUAAGAAAAUGUUAUUUUAUUAAUUCAAUUAUCAAAAUUAUUAUUAUUUUAUUUAAAUUAGAUUAAUCCUCAUUUAAUUAUUACAAGUAUAUUAUUUUAAAAUUAUAAAAAUUAUUAUUUAAUAAUUAAACAAAUAAACAUUUAAAAUCACAUACAUUACAUUAAAAACUAGUAUAUCUAAAUAUAUAUUUUACCACUUAUUUUAAUCUUGUUAUUUUUAAUUUCAUCAAAAUUAUUAUAUAUCACUCGAGCCACUGCGACUGCUGACCGGUGAUUAUUGCCUGCAUAAUUUGAUGAAAGGUUCUGAAUUAAUACAUCCAAGACUUUUAUGAGCAUCGCCAUUGACUGACCGACGACUUGUAUGAAAGAAUUUUCCACGUACGUUAGCUUUAUUACUGGACUGAUUUUUCAAAGAAAGACUUGCUCUCAAUUGGAGCCAUAAAACAAAUGAAUGAUUGGCAUUUUACAUUAAAGAGCAUCCCAUUGUUUAUUUCUUCAUCGGAGCUCCACCGGAACUUGAUGAUGUUAAGACCCAGACUUUUCUUGUUUAGCAUCUUUGCCCUUACUUUAUCUCUAUCCCCAGAUGUUUCCGAUGGUAGAGCAGGCAAAAGCAACCACUGUGGCCCAUCUUUGUGUGGACACGUUAAUAUCAGACACCCUUUCCGACUAAAAGGUCAGCCUCGUCGAUGUGGUGACCGUAGGUAUGAAUUAGAAUGCAAGAGAAACCGCACCAGUUUUCCCAUGAAAUACGGAAACUUUUAUGUCCUAAACAUCUCUUAUGUUGACCGAACGCUUCGACUUGUGGAUGUGAGUCUGGUCGAUGAAAACUGCUCAAUUCCUCGCAGUUCCAUUGUCUAUUAUCCAUACAGCUAUCAAGAAGACAUAAAUUAUGGAAGACACACCAUGUAUCUGGUAAAUUGCACGACAAGGAUGAAGUCUUCUUCAGUUUAUGUCGAUGCUUCUCGUUGCCCAACCAAUAGCUCUUCUUCUCCUUGGACCUACUUCUACUUUCCAGUCUCGUUUUCAAAUAUAUCCGAUUUCCAUCAUUCGUGUAGAUUUAUAGCCCAGUUUCCUGUCAUGCUUUCCAAUAUUAGUGGCUUAUCCCCUUCUUACAUUUACAAAAACCUGUUGGAAGGCGUCGAGGUGUCCUGGUAUAGACCCUUUAGUUUUUGGCCUUCAAACCCGGUUCUCAAAGUGUAAGAGACUUCGAUCUUUAGAUUCUUUCAAUCUAUAACUUUUCAAGGCCUUAUUUAUUGAUUGGUUGCUUUUUUUUUCCUUGGGGGGGGGGGGGGUUAUUCUAGCUUGCUACAGUUGGUGAUCUAUUCACUACGUCCAAUUUUAGCAUACAUAGUAAGCAAUGUGGCCUUUCUUCUACCGGGAAUCAUCGGCCAUUAUCCUUUUGGGAAAGGUUAAUCUUUCAGAUUUCAUAAGUAUCUUUAUUUAUUGGAUUUGCCCUUGAAUUGUAUUCGAGUUAGUAAUAUUAUUGUUCAAUUUGCGUUUUAAACAGGAGCCACCUUCGUUUGUCUUGCAGUAUCAGGUAAAUCUCUUUCCCUUCCCACUUUUUAUGUUAUCUUUAUAAAAUAAUCAUGAAUGCUGAUUUAUCCAUGUGUAUGCACCUUGAUGGGCAAGCAGGCAUAUUGUUAGCGAGAACUUUGUUGGGGAUAUUCUGCCUCAUUACACUUGUCAUAUGCAAACUAAAGAGGAGGCAUUUGUCGAUGGAUGAUGAUAUCGAAAACUUUCUUCAAAGUCAAAAUAAUUUAAUACCUAUUCGAUAUUCGUAUUCUGAAAUAAAAAGAAUUACGGAAGGUUUUAAAGUUAAAUUAGGUCAAGGUGGUUAUGGUUCUGUGUUUAAAGGAAAGCUUCGCAGUGGUCGGCUAGUGGCAAUAAAAAUGUUAGAUAAAUCCAAAGCAAAUGGAGAAGAUUUCAUCAAUGAAGUUGCUACUAUUGGAAGAAUUCAUCAUAUUAAUGUAGUGCAACUUAUUGGGUUUUGUGUAGAGAGAUCAAAACAAGCUCUUGUAUAUGAUUUUAUGGUGAAUGGGUCUCUGGAUAAAAUUAUAUUUUCAAAGGAGAAUUGCACUUUAAGUUGGCAAAAAUUAUUUGAUGUUGCACUUGGUGUGGCUCGAGGAAUUGAAUACUUGCACCGGGGUUGUCAAAUGCAAAUUUUGCAUUUUGAUAUCAAGCCGCACAACAUUCUUUUGGAUGAAAACUUUAUCCCUAAAGUUUCUGAUUUUGGUCUUGCAAAAUUAUAUUCAGUGGAUGACAGUAUUAUUUCUCUCACAGCGGCUCGUGGUACAUUAGGAUACAUUGCUCCUGAAUUAUUUUACAGAAAUAUUGGAGGCAUCUCAUAUAAAGCCGAUAUUUAUAGUUUUGGAAUGUUAUUAAUGGAAAUGGUGGGAAGAAGAAAGAAUUUGAAUGCAUUUGAUGAUCAUUCUAGUCAAAUUUAUUUUCCGUCAUGGAUUUAUGAUCGAUUUGAACAAAGAGAGAACAUAGAAUUAGGGGAUGUAACAGAAGUUGAUGACAAAAUAGCAAGGAAGAUGAUAAUGGUUGCAUUUUGGUGCAUACAAAUGAAUCCCACUAAUCGUCCUUCAAUGAGCAAAGUUUUGGAAAUGCUCGAAAAUGAACAUGAUCAACUUGAAUUGCCGUCCAGACCUUCACUAUUUUCUCUCGAAAAGUCGACUGAAGAUCAUGUUUGUAAGAAUGUAUCGGAGGAACCAUCAACGUCAAAAAGUUGUGUGGACAUCUAAGUAUAAUGUUUGAUUUUAUUCGGACCUUUUAUACAUAUAGUUCUGCAAGUACUGUAAGCUUUUAAUUUGUAGCAUUUCAUGCUCAGUUGUAUAAUAUCCAGCAUCAUGUAAUACGACUAUUAAUGGAUGUGUGUUUUAGACUUUAGCUCCUUAGCUUCAUGUUUCAAUUAUUAAAAAUGUCUCCUUUUCACCAUAUAAUGAGUUAAUAUCAAAUUCGUUAACAAUUAUUUAGUAUGUAAGUGACUCUUAACAUUGCGUGAUCUCAUGAGAAAGUUUUUACUCUCUUAUCGUAAUAUGUAAUCAUGCUGAUAAAAGUAACUUGUAAUAAUUAUGAGUGUGGUGUGGCGGUUGCUCACUUUAUUUUUUAAUCAUGUAGUCAGGGUUUGAGUUCCGCUCAUAGAAAUGGAAUACCUUCCAACGAUGAAUAUCUUAAUUUUGACAAUUAAACAACAUUUAAGAUAGAAUCUUUUCAUUUAUUAGUAGAAUUUAUAUACUAACAGCCAUGCAGCAUUUCAUUUAUGAGUUCAAAUAAAAUCUUAGCAUUGGUGUAAUAUGAGUGUGCUAAUAGGUGAUUUCAAGUUUCAACUGAUUCUAGUACUACUAACAAUGAGGCUCGAGACUGUUCUUAUUCCAUUUCUGAAAUAGUGGGUAGAUCUCUGUUAACCGGCUUCCUAGGUAUGGUGGCACCCAUCGUCUUCGGUGGAUCUGUUGACACAAAAGGAUUUGGGGGCAUUGUAAGAACGUCAAGCUCUCCCUCUAACAUCUGAACCACCACUUUCAUCGAAGGACGAUCAACGGGAUACCACUGAAUGCACCAAAGUCCAACGAUCAUGAGUUUCUUUUCUAUCCCUGUUUGUGCAUCAUCUUCAAUUCGAAUCCCGAACUCCUCUCCUUUAUCCAAACGAUCAUAUGCCCAUUCUGGGAAAUACACUUGGCUUGUAUUCUCGACCAUAACAUCUAUGUUCUUUCUCCCCCCAACCAUUUCAAGCAACAGCAUUCCAAAACUAUAAACAUCAGACUUAUAUGACACAUUUCUGAAGUUGCGAGACAGUACCUCUGGUGCAAUAUAGCCCAUGGUACCUCUUGUUGGCACAUAAUUAAAUUAACCUUGCACAAAUAAAUUAUGAAAAGUUAGAAGAGUGAAGAGACUUGAAUAUGAAUAGUGAAGAGACUUGAAGAUGAAAAGUUAAGAGUCUUGAAUAUGAAAGGAUACACACAUGCAUGAAUAGUCACAACUCCUAGCAUAUAGUGAUUUAGAUGAAUAGUCACUUACAACUCCUAUAUAAAGAGUUGUAUGUAAUGAAGAAUAAUUAACUUGUGUGCUUGAAAUAAAAGCUUAUUUGAAAGAAUUUUUCCAUACAAAAUUUAUUUCUCUUCUCCAUUAUAUUCUUUAUCAUUUUCUUUGUUUUAUUUCUCCAAAUAUUAAUUAUUCAACUACAAAUUGGUAUCAGAGCCUUGUUCGAUCGAAAUGAACAAUUCUAUUCCUCUUUCUUCCGUUCCCCAAUUAACCAAAGAAAAUUAUGGCAAAUGGAGUAUCCAAAUGAAGGCUCUUCUUGGAUCUCUAGAAGUUUGGGAGAUUGUUGAAAAAGGUUAUAAUGAAGUUGAGGCUGAAGAGGAGGAAGGAUUAUCACAAGUUCAAAAAGAGGGUUUAAGAAAAUCAAGGAAAAAAAAUAAACAAGCCUUAUUUUGGAUAUAUCAAGGAGUUCAAUCAAAUGAAGCAGCAUGGGAAAAAAUAGCUUGUGCCACCACGGCAAAACAAGCAUGGGAGGUUUUACAAAAUUCUUUCAAAGGAGAUGAAAAGGUGAAAAGAGUUCGGUUGCAAACUCUUCGAGGGGAGUUUGAAAGAUUGCAAAAAAUAGAGUCGGAAUCAGUUUUUGAUUACUGUUCACGAGUUUUGUCCAUAGUCAACCAAUUGAAAAGAAAUGGUGAAACUAUGGAUGAUAGUCGUGGUGUUGAAAAAAUCCUCCGUUCUUUGGAUUCUAGAUUUGAUUACAUUGUGGUAGCCAUUGAAGAAUCAAAGGACUUGAGUACCAUGACUAUUGAUGAACUCACAGGUUCGUUGCAAGCCCAUGAAGAAAGAUUAAACAAGAAGAAGAAGGAAGUAGAUCUAGAUCAAGCACUCCAGUCAAAGUUGUCUCUAAAUGAGAAGAAAGGAGAAUUUAAAAAUCAAAGAGGGAGAGAUCGUGGAAGAGGAAGAAAUUUUAGAGGAAGAGGCUCAAAUGCUCGUCAAAGAUAUGAAAAUACAAGCACGGAGAAUGGAUGGAAAGAAGCCAGCCAAAGUCAGAAUUUUAGAGGAUCACAAAGAGUACGUGGACGUGGAAAUCAAAGAGGAAGAGGUCGUGGCUAUUUUGAAUGUUAUCAUUGUCGCAAACCUGGUCAUUUGGCAAGUGAAUGCUGGUACAAGAAAGAAGAGAAAAAUGAAGCUAAUAUAGUACAAAAUAAUCAAGAGCAAAAGCAAGAAACUUUGUUGCUCGUGUCUCAUGGUGGAGAGAUUGAUGAUGUCUGGUACAUAGACAGUGGUGCUAGCAAGGCUAUGACAGGUAACAAAAAUUUAUUUUCGAAGUUCUUUGAAUCUGAUUGUGGAGAAGUAAAAGUAGGAGAUGGCAAUGCUUACAAAGUUAGCGGUGUUGGUGAGUUGGAGUUCAAAACAAAGCAAGGAAGGGUAGAGAAAAUGUCUGAAGUUUAUUUUGUUCCCGGACUUAAAAAUAAUCUGCUUAGUGUUGGGCAUCUUUUAAAGAAGGGGUAUGAUAUUCAUUUUCGUGACAUGGCUUGCUAUUUAUCAAGGAAAAAUCAGGUUGUUGCUAGAGUUGGAGUGGCAUCAAAUAAUCUUUUCUCUCUCACCCUUCAAAAUCAGAAUAUGUCUUGUUUUAUUGGUGCUCAUAAAGGAGUUUCAAAGUUAUGGCAUGAUAGAUAUGGACAUUUGAACUAUGGAAAUUUGGAGAUGCUUUCAAAGAAGAUGAUGGUCAGAGGUUUACCAAAAAUCAAUCGACUUGAUGAUAUUUGUGAAGCAUGUCAACUUGGAAAGCAACACAAAAUUACUUUUCCUUCUCAAUCAUCGUGGAAAGCAAGAAGACCAUUGCAACUUAUUCACUCAGAUCUUUGUGGUCCAAUGACAAUUUCAUCUUUGGGAGGUAAUCGUUAUUUUAUCUCUUUCAUUGAUGAUUACUCAAGAAAGUUAUGGGUGUAUUGUGUAAAAGAAAAAUCAGAGGCUUUUCAGAGAUUCAAAGAUUUCAAGGCAGAAGUGGAGAACUUUACUGGGCUAAAAAUUAACACCUUACGGACAGAUCGUGGAGGUGAAUAUUUUUCAAAAGAAUUUGAGAAAUAUUGCCGAGAUAGUGGCAUCCGGCAUGAAAUGACAGUCCGCCAUACACCUCGGCAAAAUGGUGUGUGUGAAAGAAAGAAUAGAACAAUUAUGGAAAUGACUAGAUGUCUUCUUAGGAAGAAGAGGUUAUCAAGAAGAUUUUGGGCUGAAGCUGUUUCUUGUGCAGUUUAUCUUAUAAAUAGAUCACCGACAAGAAGCUUGGAGAAUUGCACACCACAUGAGGCGUGGUAUGGUAUAAAGCCUAGUGUUAGUCAUCUUAGAGUAUUUGGGAGUGUUGCAUACUCUCAUAUUCCAGAUGCAAUGAGAAGCAAGUUGGAUGACAAGUCAGAGAAAUGCAUUUUUAUUGGUUAUAGUGAAAGAAGUAAGGCAUACAAGUUGUACAAUCCGGUGACAAAGAAGAUUGUGAUAAGCCGAGAUGUUCGGUUUGAUGAAAAUUCCAUGUUUGAAGAUAUAGAAGUUGAAAAGGAAAAUUUGCCAAUUUUUCCUUUUGAACUUGAAGAAGAAGAAGAUGCAGUAAUUGAGAAUGCUGAAGAUGAUGCUCAAGUAGGAAAUCCUCCUGCUUCCUCAAGUUCUUCAUCAAAUUCUUCUUCAUCCAGCCCGAUCCGAAAAACGAGAAGCAUCCAAGAGUUAUAUGAUGUAACGGAUGAAGUUGUGCAAAAUGAUGUUGUAUUCUUUGCCUUCUUUGCAGGAGAAGAUCCAAUUUCUUUUGAUGAUGCAUAUCAAGAAGAAAUAUGGAGGAAAGCCAUGAAAGAAGAGAUUUGCUUAAUUGAAAACAAUGAUACAUGGGAACUCACAGAUUUACCGCCGCACAAGAAUUUAAUUGGAGUCAAAUGGGUGUACAAGACAAAGAUGAAUCCGAAUGGCUCUAUCAACAAGUACAAGGCAAGACUGGUUGCAAAAGGAUACAAACAAAAGGAAGGAGAAGAUUUUACAGAGGUAUUUGCUCCAGUUUCAAGACUUGAGACAGUUCGGUUACUUAUUUCUCUUGCUGCCCAAAACAAUUGGAAAAUGUUCCAAAUGGAUGUAAAAUCUGCGUUUUUGAAUGGUGUUCUCAAAGAAUAAGUCUAUGUUGAUCAACCACCAGGGUUUGUCAAAAAAUGAGAAGAAGAAAAAGUUUACAAGUUGAAGAAAGCUUUGUACGGGUUGAAGCAAUCACCCCGAGCUUGGUACAGCCGAAUCGAUUCUUAUUUUCAGAAGUGUGGAUUCCAGAAAUCUCCAUAUGAGCAUACUCUCUACAUCAAAGGCAAUUAUCAAGGAAGAUUCAUGGUUGUUAGUCUCUACGUUGAUGAUCUUAUUUUCACAGGAAAUGAUGUGAAGAUGUUGAAAGAAUUUCAGCACUCAAUGAUGGCAGAAUUUAAGAUGAUAGAUUUGGGAGAACUUCAUCAUUUUCUUGGUAUUGAAGUUCAUCAAUCUAAGAAAGGAAUUUUUAUUUCACAAGAGAGCUACGCAAAGGAAGUUCUAAAAAAGUUCAUGAUGGAAAAUGCGAAUCCAAUCUCUACUCCAUGCAUUACAAGUCUGAAGUUAUCUAAAGAGGGUGAAGGAAAGCUUGUCAAUUCCACCAUAUUCAGAAGUUUGGUUGGGAAGUUGAUGUAUCUGACUUCGACAAGGCCUGACAUCGUGUAUGCUGUUAGUUUGGUGAGUAGAUUCAUGGAGAAACCUUACUCCAAUCACUGGGAGGCUGCUAAGAGAAUAUUGAGAUAUGUGAAGGGAACCAUUGAUUAUGGAAUUUUCUAUAAAGCUAAUACUUAGUUGAUCUCAUUGGUUAUACGGAUAGUGAUUUAGCAGGAAGCAUUGAUGAUAGCAGAAGCACUUCUGGUUAUGUUUUUCACCUUGGGAGUGGUGCAGUUUCAUGGAGUUCAAAGAAACAAUCAAUUGUGGCGCUUUCGACUACAGAAGCUGAAUAUAUCGCUGCAUCUUAUGCAGGAUGUCAAUUGAUUUGGUUACGUGGAAUUUUGGAAAGUCUUAAGCAGAAGCAAAGCAAGUCAACAAUUUUGUUUUGUGACAAUAGUUCUACUAUUUCGGUCACAAAAGAUCCAGUUCUUCAUAGAAGGACAAAACACAUUCGCAUUCGAUAUCACUUCUUGAGGGAACUAGUGAAUAAUGGUGAUGUUCAAGUUGAAUAUUGCAAGACAGAAGAUCAGAUGGCUGAUAUCUUCACAAAGCCUCUAAGUGGACAAGUCUUCAAGAAAAAUGUUGAAAGGUUGGGAGUUCAAAGCAAGUUUAAUUUAAGGGAGGCAUUGUUGGCACAUAAUUAAAUUAACCUUGCACAAAUAAAUUAUGAAAAGUUAGAAGAGUGAAGAGACUUGAAUAUGAAUAGUGAAGAGACUUGAAGAUGAAAAGUUAAGAGGCUUGAAUAUGAAAGGAUACACACAUACAUGAAUAGUCACAACUCCUAGCAUAUAGUGAUAUAGAUGAAUAGUCACUUACAACUCCUAUAUAAAGAGUUGUAUGUGAUGAAGAAUAAUUAACUUGUGUGCUUGAAAUAAAAACUUAUUUGAAAGAAUUUUUCCAUACAAAAUUUAUUUCUCUUCUCCAUUAUAUUCUUUAUCAUUUUCUUUGUUUUAUUUCUCCAAAUAUUAAUUAUUCAACUACACCUCUAGCUGUUGUCAUUGAAAUAGCACUUUGUUCCUUGGAACACAAUUUAGCAAGGCCGAAAUCAGAGAUCUUAGGAUUGAAGUUGUGAUCAAGCAAAAUAUUGUGAGGUUUGAUGUCGAAAUGGAGGAUACGUUGCUCGCAACCUUGAUGCAGGUACUCGAUGCCUUUGGCUACACCGACAGCAAUAUCCUGAAGUUUUUCCCAACUAAG
rnacentral:lncRNA from 1 species